rnacentral:lncRNA from 1 species
GUGAGUUGGUGCUCACUACGAAUUCGGUGCUUAAUGAAGAAAUAAUGCAGCCUACCUUUGUUGAAUUCUAGCUGCCAUUUGAAAAGCCUAUAAAAGGUUGUGUUGAGAGCAGAAGCAUACGUAUCAACGACAGCCAAACAGAGAGAGAGAGAGAGAGAGAGGUUCUGCCAUUGUGGCAGCGACACGAGCUGUCCUGAGCAGCAGCUUGUGUAGGCUGGUAAAAUGUGGGUGAUAGAGAAAGACGAGACACUUGCAAGAGAGUGUGGGUAUGAGGUUUGGUCUUUGUCCUCCAUUAUUAUUGUAAAUUGUGGUGUUUCUCCUGUUCAUUAAUACUGUCUAUUUCAUGGAUAUAAGCAAAUUACUGAACAUAUUAAAUUUGUUGUGCUUAGUUUCUGGGCAAAAAUCAAUAGGAUUGUCUAUGGUAUUAGAAAUUUGAAGUUACCAAUAAAGUGGCAUCGAAGCUUCGGUAUUCCCAACACCACGGAGAUGUUUAAUAUCUUAUAUGGAUUGAAAGGAAAAGAUUUAGAAAGUUUGUAAGCUUCAAGCACCAUAAUUUCAUUUUAAAAACUUUUUUUUUAAAAAAAAUAUACUAGAAAAUCAAGAGUUUAAGGUGAAAAAAUACUUUGAAAUGGUUAGUCAGGUGCAAAUUUAUAGCAAUAUCAUCAAUAAUCAUAUUAAAUUAAUUUUUUAUGAUUGGAACAAAUGAGUUAUGUGAUCUCUAUAAGCUCCUAAACCUCUUGACUAAGCUACAUGGUACUUAAUAUAUCUUUCACUUUCCUUGGCACUCUAUGGUAGUAUUUACUUUUUAAAAUAAUUUUUCAUUUAAAAUAAUAUUAAAUUAAUUUUUUAAAUAUUUUUUUGAUUAUUUUGAUAUGUUAUUGUUAAAAAUAAAAAUAAAAAAUAAAAAUUAUUAUUUUGAUAUAUUUUCAAUUAAAAAAUAUUUUUUAAAAGUAGUCUACAUAAAAAAUAUUUAAGAAACUUUUAAACUUCAAAUAUCAUCUAUCUCCAAAAAAUGAUAUUUUCAUCUUCAAAUCUAAUAUACGAAAACCCAUUUAUUUUUGUGUUUUAAAUUAAAAUGUUUUUGAAAAAAAAAUAUUUUUUUAAUUUUAAAUUAAUAUUUUUUAGUGUUUUUAGAUCAUUUUGAUAUAUUUAUGUCAAAAAUCAAAAUGAAUUUAAAAAAAUAAAAAAAUUUAUUUUAAUAUAUUUUUAAGUAAAAAAUACUAUGAAAAAAAAUCAUAAUAACAAACGAGCCCCGAAGAAAUGCAAUUUUAGUUGCUUUGUCUUCAACUUAUGAUAAGUUGGAUUAUCCUAUAUAUGUUGUACCUCAUCAAAUUUAUAUUGAAAUCUAAGCUUUAGGAAAAUGAUUAAUUUUUUCUUCAACUUUCUUUACCAAAAUAUCUUUCUACAUGGUUGGAUCCCACGUGAACAGUAUUCCCUCCCUAAUCUUUUAUUUUUAAAGUCUAUUGAACUAAAUUAAUCCUUGAGCUAGCUCUUCCUUUUUCAUGUUUCCUUCCAAUGCCAAUGAAUGAAAGUUAUGAACGAACAAAUUAGAACUUAUGAAAUAAUUCUUUAAGUUAAAUAAUUUAUGAACAAGUUUGCUAUGGCAAUUAGGAACAGAGAUGGAAAAGUCAACUGAUACUAGUUAGUGAGAACUACUCAUUUAACACACGCUUUCUUGUGGGUUAUAAUUUUUUUUUUAAAAAAAAUAUUAGGUAUACAAGUUGCUUUAAUAUGUUUUUUUUAUAUAAAAAAAUUUAAAGUGUAAAUUAAAAAGUCUACAUAAACAAGAUCAAGAUAUUCUAUAACAUAAAAUGAGACAUGCAUUUAAUUGUAUUUACUGAACUUAUUUAUUUAAAUAACUAAAGAUAAAUCCACACUCUAAAAAAUUCAUGAAUAAAAAGAUAAAUACAAAUGAAAUUGACUGAAUAAACCUACGAUAUAAAAAAUAUUAUGCAAGGCAAACACAUUAGCAAUAUAAUUUAAAAAUGAAUAUUUUUUAUUUUAAAAAAUAAACUUCAUCUGUAAAAAAAAUUAUAGAUGAAUUAGAAUAAUAUUUUGAAAAAUGAAAUAGAAACAAAACACCUAAAAAAAACUUAUAUUAAAAAAGACAUGUAAAAAUCAUGACCUAGAUCAUGAGAUCCGGAUAAACCCAUAGAAAAAACUUGAAGAUAAUUACAUAACUAAUAUUAAAAAAAAACUAAUGUUGAACAAUAAGAUCAUAUAAAGCUAAAUUCCCAACAAAUUAAAUGUUGAAAAAUGAAAUCAUGAAAAAAAUAAUUACACAAAAGGAUAAAAAAAAAAUAAGGGUGAGAAAAAACAUUAAUUAGAGGGAUAAAAAUUUUCAAUUGGAGGGUUUAAUUGAAUUGAAAAAUAGCUUAAAUAAAAGAAAAAAAAUCAAAAGAAUAAGGGUCAAACUGAUGAAAUUAAAACAACAAAAAAUUUGAUUGAAUGAUGAAAUUGAAAGAAAAAGAACUUCAACAAAAGUGUUAAUGACACAAUUAGAAAUUAAAAAAAAAAAAGGACUGGAAUGAAAAAUAGAACAUAUGAGAAAUUGCAAUUAAAUGACUAAAUUGAAAAGAAUAUAAACUUCUAUAAAUGGAAAAUGAAUGAAAUAAAAAAUUAACAGAAUGAGGAAUGAAAUUAAAAAAUAAAUAAAAAAGGAUAAUAAAGUACAUUACAUGUUAGAAGGGAGAGAGAGAGAAAAAAAUCAAACAACCACUGGUGACAAUCCGACCAUUGUAAGUUGCCACACACCAUUCCAAAUGGAAGAGGAUAAGAUGACGCAUCUAGGGAGAUGAUAAAAGGCCAGUUAUGUCCACUGGGUAGCGUGACACGCACCACCUGAACGGCGCAGACGCCACCCACGUGCCGGAACGUGUCGAGCAUGCUCCAGCAGCUUUAAGCAUUACAAAAUUUGAAUUUUUUUUGAAAAUACUGAAAUGCCCCCACGACCUCGACAAUUACACAAAAUACCUAUGUGAAAGUACAAAAUACCUCCAAAUGCUAAGCUUAUGUUUGUCUCUUCCAAGGUUAAAGAUGUAAUUGCACUGUACAUUUAAAUUUGAAAACCCAAAACAUUUUUAUCCUAUAACACAAUAUUUUUUUUGACUCUAGGAACAAAUAUGUAUUUUUAUUGCAAAGAAGCACAUGCUAAGUUAAGAAAACUCUUAAUAAAUAGUUUUAUAUUUUGUUGAUUUUGGAAGUAAAAUAAUAUUUUUAUUGUGAAAAAAAAAAUCAUCACUCCACCCGAGAAGCUUAAUUUUUUUUUACCGAAGGAUACAAGGAUAAUUUUAUUGCAGGCGAAGAUAUAUUUUAUUGUAUAUUGAACUCCAGCAAAACAACCACACUAUUAAAUGUUUUAGGUAGUUUGAUUUUUCAAGAAAAAGAUUAUUAAAUGCUUAAUUCUAGCUCCAAGACCAAUAAAAAUCUCAAUAGUCAAAAUACAUGCAUGGUGAUUGGAUCGAGAGCAAACAUAACACGGCGAGGGAAGUCGAAAUUACCUGCACCAGGAGUAAUGCAAACAAGGCCAGUUAUCAUGCCCUGAACAGCACCGAUGACAGAAGGUUUCUUGAAGAAAAUGACAUCUAGCCAGGUCCAUACAAGAAGACUAGUAGCUGCGCAAAUGUUAGUGUUAAGAACGGCCAUGGAAGAGUCAAUAUUGGCAGUGUAUGGAUCUCCGCCGUUGAAGCCAGCCCAUCCCAUCCACAGCAGCCCUGCCCCUGCUAACAUUAGCAGUACAUUGUUUGGUGGAAAUCUCUCUCUAUCCUUUGAUGAUCUUGGACCUACCUGCAUCAGUUAACUUGAGAAAUUUCUCACCACCAAUCUUUUGAAAGAUUCUCUCCUCACGUCAUGGAAGAAAUCUUAAGAACAAAACAAAACUAUUACGUUCUUGUUCUUAGUCAGCUCCAAUAAUCUGACAAAAAUAUCAAUUCUAAAAUUAUUUGUUAUACUAGUGAUUCAUUUCUUGUCAUGGGUAAAAACUAAUUAAGAGUUGGUUUGUUAUUGUAUUUUAAAGGUGAUUCUAAAAAAAUUGUUUUUUUUUUAAUUUUAAAUUAAUAUUUUUUAUGUUUAUAAAUAUUUUAAUGUGUUGAUGUAAAAAAUAAAUUUUAAAAAAUAAAAACAAAUGUUAUUUAUACUUUAAAAAUAACUACUAUCUUAAUACUAAAUUAAUAUCGGUAAGAAAUAAUUUAUGAGAGCUAGCUCUUUCUUGAGCUAUAUGAAUUAGCUAAAUAAAAAUUAAUUUGUUAUUUAUAUUUUUUAGAAAGGUUGAAAAUUCCACUAAAAUCUAGUUUUUUCUUUAUAUGCAAUAUAAUUUAAGAAAAAAAGAAAAGAAAAGAAAAUCAUGGAAGGGCAGUACUAUACUACUAUUAGAGAUAUUUUCUCAUGUUUCAAUACUGAAAAUGAAGAGAAAAGGCUUUUUUUAUAUUCAAGGGGAAAACUAGCAUCUAUAUAUUGUCUCAAAAUUUUGAAAUGUAACCCCUAAAUAAACAUUAAGAAUUAAAACAGGUUAGUAAGUAAAAUUUGCUUAAAUUAAACACUAAAACAAUUAAUUAAUUAAUUCAAAGGACUGAAGAUCCAUAUUCACUACAAAUUAUAAUGUUUCUGUACCAAGACAAGGUUUCUGCAAUAUCUUCCUGGGUAGCAGAAAUUAAUUUCAUGAUGAUUAGUAGUCAAAGUUAUGCAGCAAGUUGCAUUUCAAAGCGUCAAGCUCACAAAGACUUGUUCAGAGGCAAAGAAGAAGAAGAAGAAGAAGAAGAAGAAGGACUGACCCAAAAGGCAGUAGUCAAGCCGGCGAUCCCUGAAGAAAGAUGAAUAACAUAACCACCAGAAUAGUCCAUGACACCCCAGUGAAACAAGAAUCCACCGCCCCACAAGCUGAAGGCACCAACAGUGUAAGAGAAAGUGAGCCAAAGUGGCACAAAAGCCAUCCAAGCCUUAAAAUUCAUUCUUCCAAGCACUGAUCCAGCCAAAAGAAUAAGAGUGAUUGCAGCAAACACACACUGAAACCAAACCAUGGAAGCCAUGGGAUAUAAUGGUGUAGCCAUAGCAGUCUCCACAUCACCGUUAUCGUAGAACUGUGUGGUCUCAGGGAGUGCAGCUUGCUUGAUUAGAAACUUCUGGCCUAAGGCAGGUCCUGCUUUGCCCCAAAAGGGCAAGAGCUUAUCGCCAAAAGACAUUUUGUAGGCCCAAACCACCCAGCAGAUUACAACAGCUGCAAAAGCGUAAAAGGCCAUGAAAGCUGAAUUGACUGCCCAUUUUUUCUUGACAAUGCUUCCAUAGAGAAUUACAAGUCCUGGCACACUCUGGAGUCCAACAAGGGUGGCUGAGAUCAUUUGCCAUGCGUUAUCGCCCUUGUUUAACCAGUCAGGAACUGAAGGUGAGCCUCCUUGGUAUGCCACUGGGACUAGGUUAGGUGGAGGAGCAGCCAUGGUAUUUUAGAGGAUUGUGACUAGCUACUGCUCCUUCUUCGUUAAUUAAUCGGAGUUAUAAGGCUUGAAACAUGAUUUUAUAUUUAAUUAUUUAAAAUAUAUUAAUUAUCUUCCAUUCUUAUUAUCUCCCUUUCCUUCCUGUCCAGUCACCCCCUUCCCAAAUGCACUACAAGAGAUUCUACUCUCAUUGAUUUUUUUAUUGUCUUCUAGAAAUGUGGUAUAAAUACUUUUAAUGAGACCACUUAAUUAAAAAGUAUCCUAUGCAUUGACUAUAAUGCGGGUAUAGUGGGCUAAGGUCUCUAUGAACACAUGUGAUUUAAAUAAAAAAAAAAGAAGAAUUUCUAUAUUAAUGACGGUGAUUACACGAGAUAAAAACAACACUCAAUUAAUAAUAAUAAUAAUAAAACAUAUACCCAAACCUAUCAAUCUCCAUGUGUGAAAGAGAGAAAAAUGCUACCACCUUAAUUUUGGAAUUGCCGCAGCUUACAUGAAGAGCACUAUCAUUGAUGCGUUUCUUGCCUCUCUCCCGACAAAACACUAGGAACAAAUGUAGAAGCCACCAUUGUCAAUUUUGCUGCAACCCACUCAUAAAUAAGCGACAUUACCGGUAUAUUAAGAGUUGUUUGAGAGUGUAAUAAUAAUUGUUUUUUAAAAUGUUUUUUGUUUGAAAUAAAUUAAAAUAAUAUAUUUUUUAAAAAAAUUAUUUUUGAUAUCAAUAUAUAAAAAUAUCUGGAAACACAAAAAAAAUUAAUUUAAAAUAAAAAAUUUAUAUAUUUUUUUAAAAGCAUUUUUAAAACUCAGAAACAAAAAAUUAAACUUAUUCGGCAGGGGGUUAAUGUUGUUUUUUUUACAUAGUAAAAAUAUUAUUUUACAUCUAAAAUUAACAAAAUAUAUAACUAUUUACCAAGGGUUUUUUUUUUGACUUAGCAUAAGUUUUUUAAUAAUAAAAUUAUGUAUUUGUACUUGGAGUUAAAAAAAAAUUUAAAUAAAAAAUAAAAAAUUUUAAAUAUUUUUAAAAUAUUAAAACAAACAUGUAGUAAUUAACUAAGUCCACUAAUGCAUACAAAGAUCCAUCCCGAUGGAAAAGGAUAUUUUGCUUCUGAUCGAAGCAAAAAAAAUAAAAAAUAAGAUAUUAAGACUUUUUAUUUUAUUUUGUAUAUUACAUGGAAAGAUUCUAAAAAGAUUCGAAAAACGGCUAGCUUGAGAUGUUUACUACUAUUAUAAUAAAUUUUCUGUCAACCUAAAGCUGGGUAACUUUAUUAUUAUAGGACCAUCACUGUAGUACUAAAUAAUGUCAAGCUGGGCAGUAAUGGAGGGCGAGGAUCUCGUGAAUCUUUUCUCGAGAUCCAUAUGAGUAUUAUAUAUCCCAGGAAUCUUCAAUUAUAUGUGCAAUUAACAUUUUUUUUUAUUAUUGCAUUUAAUAUUCCAUACACACUCAUCGUACGUGCAUGGCCUUCUACCUUAAAAGGAUUUUUCCUUUCUUUUCGUUUUUUUAAUAUUAAAUUGUGUAUUUAAAUUCCCAACGACCCACUUGGUAAUAUUUUUAUAUAUAUAUAUUUUAUUAACAUUGGUGUUCGGACAAUUUAUAUAUAUCUCGACUAAUCUCACGGGUCCUAAAGUUAAUGACCGAGUAAGUCUCUAGUAAUACUGAGAUUUGUGGGACUUGAACUGCUGAUCUCUAGAGAGCAAACUAUAGCAUGAUUAGUUGAGUUAUACCUCUCAUGAUUAUAAUAUUUUCAUAUUUGAUCUUUAAAAAUUAUUAUUAAAAAAUAAUAUAAAAUCCUUUUGAGAUAUCAUUCAACAAUUCAAGAUUUGGGUUUAUAUAAUUUUCUAGUAUGAUAAUAAUAUUUUAAUAACGAAUUAAACAUCAUUUGUUUGUAUUUUUUAAUUAAUUUAAUAAAAAAUCAAGAUGAGUGUGAAAGUUUAAAAUUUGUAAAGGUUUCGAUGUUGAAAUCUUACACACAUUUGAAUUUUUGGAGUACUAUGUUUUUUAGGAGAUAGACCAUUAAUAUUUUGUCUAUUAGUUUAUUUUCUAAUUUGUUUAAAGAUAGCCUGAGAUUAUUUGAUCAAAAUUUAAAUCUUAAAUAAAUAAAUUAAAAAUCAAUUUAUCUUAUUGGCGUAUCUAAUUUAUUGAUAAUUAAUUGAUUAUGCUGCUGUUAUCUAUGGGCAGUUCACGUGAUUAGAUGCAUCCAGUUGAACAUAACAGGCACAUCACUUUAUCAUUUUUAAUUAUGUUUAUAUUUAUGUUAAUUUUUAAAUCCAACGAAGCCAGGAAAAUUAGGUAAUAUCCAUAUUCCCCGCAUCGAUCGUCUUGCAAUUGUGCAUGUCUAUUGAUAAUAUCUUUAGUACAAUGUUUAUAUGCUUUCAUGUUAGAUUAAAAUAAAUUUUUAAUAAAAUAUUAGUGUUUUAUUAACCAAAUAAUAAUGAAUUUAAAUUUUAUUAUUCAAUUCUAUUUGAUAAUAUCCUUAAUUUUAUCUAACAUUAUAAGUUUUUGAAUUUAAAAUUUGAGUUUUAUCUAACAUUAUAAGUUUUUGAAUUUAAAAUUUGAUCAUGAAAUUGUAAAAGAAUUAGCAUUUAAUUUCUAUUAUAUGAAAACCACCAUCUUAAAAGAGUCAAAAUAAAUAAGAAACACUCCAAGAGUUAGCAUUUUUUUUUUAAUGUUUUGAAACUAUUAAUUAGACAUAAUGAGUUUUGGGUUUUUAUAUUAGUAUUUGUACAUAGGAGAGUUCAUUUACAUUUUUGAGAGGAUAAAUUACUAGGUAUCUAUCAAACCGUUCAUAAAUAUUUAUGGUGAAAUAUACACGUAAACUAUUACUUCAGUCUAUAAGUAAUUAAUAGCUUUGGACCAAGAGGUUUGCUCCCUCUGUGAUCUCAGGUUCGAGCCCUGUGAUUGCUCAUAUGAUGGCCACUGGAGGCUUACAUGGUCGUUAACUUCAGGGCCCGUGGGAUUAGUCGAGGUGCGCGCAAGUUAGCCCGGACACUCACGUUAAACUAAAAAAAAGAAAUUAAUAGUUUUAGUUUAUAAUUUAUCACGAGAGAGAGAGACAUAUUCAAAAUUGAUUAUGCUAAUUGAUUUGGGUUAUGGCAAUUAAUCAAUAAAAAAGGAUAAAAUAGAAUGGUUGAAAACUAAUUAUUUGAUUAUUGAAUUUUUAUUUUAAUAAAGGAAAACAAUAAUGAUUGAUUUUUUAUUUUAAUAUUUAGAAUGAUCUACCAUUAUUAUUAUUAUUGAAAAAAAAAACAUAAACUUGAUUUGAAGGAUAUAAUUAAAGACCAUAAAAACUUUGAGAAAAGAAAAAAAUUAAAAAACUAAAAGAAAAAGGACCAAAUCAAAAUUAGUAUUAUUCCUAUUGGAAAAAAAAUAAAAAACUUGAUAUUAAAAAUAAAAUUGAAAGCCAUGAUAACUUUGAUAAAAGAGCAAAGGAAAAAUAAUCAAGAGUUGAAGGGCCAGAUUGAAAAUAUUAUAUAUACAAAUUAGAAUUGAAGGAUUAAAUUGAAAAUAAAUAAAACUUUAACACAAUAAAAAAUGAAAAAAAAAUAAAACUCAAAGGACUAAAUUUGAAAUACAAAAAAAGAACAAGAGUUAAUUUUUUUAGGUAGAAGAAAAAAAUGAAGGGAAAAAAGAAAGAAAGAAAGGGUCACUGAUUACAAACUGACCACCUUUAGCAGACAUGUGCCACCAAUAAAGAAAAAAGGGCACGGAGGAGAGCCAAAUGAGACUGUGAAAUCUCAUUUUCCACCACUAGAAGAUGCCACACGUGCCGUUCAAAAUACGUUACGUCUCCCACACCCUAAUAUCUCUUUACAUUUAAAAAAUAUAAAUUAAAUAGUAAAUUAUGUUACUACCCUCUACCAAACCAACAAUUAAAAAAAAAACGAGAGAAAAAGAUGUCAAUACUCUUUUUUUAAUGACUUAAAGUUUUUUGUCCCUAAGGUUAUAUAUAUAAUCUUACUGUAUGCUUAAAAAGAAAAUGGCACCAAUACCCCUACCCUAUAAUUUUAGUUUUUUUUUUUUUUAUCCUAGGUGGACUUAAGUUCUUUAAUUGUUCAUAUAUAUAUAUAUAUUGAAUAGACAAAAUACCCCAAAAAAACUUUAUAAUACCUAAUGAACCGUAUGCAAAGAUAAAAAUGCCCCUUGUUUAAAGGAAAUUGUUUUUUCUUGUGAAUGACAAAAAGGCCACCGCACUGUGGUGGCGAAUAAAAAAAUAUGAGGAAGGCUAUAGUAAAUCAUCCUUUUGUUUUAGUUUUUUAUUUUAUUUUAUUUUAUUUAUAUAGAGUAUAAGGUAGUAUCUAAACCUUAAUUACAUAUUGAUAUCUAAGCUAGAAUUAAGCUAUAGUUGAAUAAUCUUAUAAAUAAAAAGAACAUUUGAGCCUUAAUUACAUAUUGCUAUUAUUUGAGGGCUAAAUAAAAUAGUUUCAGUUGCCUUUCGUUGUCCUGGUAUCAAGGUGGCUGGUUGAUGAAUUUUUCCCAUAUCAUUAUCCCCAUACAGACACUCCUGAGCAUCACAGAUUACUGAGAGUCUUCCAUGCCAUGGAAAAUAGUUGUUCAACCAUGAAAAGUGACUUCAUUUGAAUAACAUCCGCUCUAAUUUUGUCUGGUUGAUCAUCUAGCCUAUUUAAGAAGGUAUAAUUUAUGUUCUUUUACUAAAUUGAGUUGAAUUUUUGAUAUCAUGAUCACCAACUAUAGGACUAGAUCUUCUAAAAUCAAUCUCCCUCCACAAUCUUAUUGAACUAUUAUAAUAUGCCUCUCAGAUCCUACCAUCUUGUUUUAAUUAGGUCAUUUAUUUUUUCCCUUCAUAUAGUUGAGAGAUAUUUGUUCCAUUAAAAUAUGUUUUUGUCAUUGUAUUCUAUACUGAUUUUGCCAUAGGAAACCAAUUGAAAUUUCCAAUCAAAAUUGGUUCCAUUAAAUUGAUUAGCUAGCCUUUGAUAUCAUAGUUUUAACUCCUCCAAUUGCUAUUAUUAGGGUCUAUUCAUUCUAUUUGAAAAAAAUUUCCAAUUGAUAUAUCCUAGUUUGUCUGUGCCAAAGAUAUACAUCUCAACAAUCUAGGUCUAUAUGACAUAAUUGAUACCAAUCUAGACAACAAAAUAUUCACGAGUUUGGUGUAAAAUUUAGAUAAUCAAAAUAGUCAAGUCUUAUAUGGUUUCUUGUGGGUUUUUGCCGAGUAUAUUCUCUAAUCUAAUAUCAUAUUAAAAAUACUUGUAAUGAAUUAUAUUUUUCUGUGACACAUAAGACAAAUUUAUAUAAAGAACAAGGUAAUAUCUAGAUCUUAAUUAUAUAUUGGUAUCUAGGAUAUAAUUAAGCUAUAGUUGACUAAACUUCUAAAUAAAAAGAAAUAUAUAGUCCUUUAUUACAUAUUGAUAUUUAAGCUAGAAUAAAAAUACAUGUUUCUUCAACUUAGUCUAAUAAGACAUAUAGAUCAAUCUUAUGAUUUUUUUUUUAUAAUCAAAUCCUUUAUUUUGAUGAAAUUAUAAAGGCUUAAUAAGUAAGGAUUUCACCCUAUCCUUAGUCUCAAGAUGUCCAACACCAUGUCCAUCUCCAUAUUGAUACAUGCAUUGCGCCAUUCGUGCAAGGUUCAUUGCAAUUCCAAUGAAAGUUUGGGAGAUACAGGGAUUAUCAAAUUGAUAAUCAUUUAUUUUCUUCCAUGUAUUUUCAAUUAAAUUUCUUAUAUGUUCACGAGCUUUUUCUUCAGAUACUCCGGCUUCAUGCAUAUAACAUUGAAUUGAUUUGGAAAUAUCUCCUCGUUUUAAUUCAUCCUAUAAAUAAAAAGAAAUAGAAAAUUAGAAUACACACACUUAAAAAAAGCCAUCACAAAUAACAAUCUUUACCAAAUUGAAAAUGAAAGAUUAAAGAUUGAUAUAUUUACAAACUGAGAUAAAUUAAUUGAUCUAGAAAUUCACUUAAAAAAUACACCAUCCAUCUUUAGUGUCAACGGAUUUUAAGAUGAAAGAGGAGAUACCAUGUUGGUGAUCGGGCCUUUACCAACAAGUUAAAAGUAGUUUUUUGGGCCGAAUGAAAACUUAAUAAGUAAAAAGUGACCCAUUUAUAGUUAAAGUAAUGCAUUAUAUGUUUCAAAAUUCAUUUCAUUACUUGGGCCAGUUAGAGGCCUAUGCGUAGAGAAAGAGGAUCUGUGGACUAAUAUAAUUUACCAUAAAAAUGAGAAAAAAAAGGGAAGGACGAAACUAUGUCAAGGAGAGGGAGAAGUCUAGCAUACCGUGGAGGUUCCAAGAUCAUCAGCAAGGCGUAAAAUCAUGGAUGACCAUCGAAUUAUAUCUGGGUAUUCGUCCAUGAAUUGUGAGGCCUCCUCUGUUGUUGGAUUGGAAACAUAAAAAUAUGCAUGAACUAGAAUCACUGGUGCUGAAAUUGAAAUCCAUGCAUUGUCCAUGUAUUCUUGAAGAGUUGGUGUAUAUCCACUGAAGUACCACUUAGCCUCCAAUAAAUAUGAUUUACACAAGUCUGCCCACUGAAAAUUAACCAUAGUCUUAUAUUCCCAAAACAUAAAAAAGGCAAAAAAUAGAGCUAUUUAAAAGAUAACUAUAGUUAUCAAAUCUAGCCUGAUCCAAUGAGUUAAUCUAGUGAUUUAAAAUCUAAUUUGAGUUGAAUUUCUUUUUAAUUGAUUUUAUCAAACCUAGCCCAACUUAACUCGUUGACCUAAUAAUCCAAAAUCUAACUAGAGUUAGAUUUUAUGGUAAAAUGUUUUUUACAUUGACCUAAUAAAUUCAUGCACCAUGAUGGUUGAUUUAUGAUUUAAUUGACUUGAUUACAUCAAAUUCAAACCUGGUCCGAUAAAAACCAAUUAUUUCAAAGAAAUUAGAAAAAAAAAUGAUAAAUCCAAUGACCAAAUAACUCAAACUUUAAACCAAGUUUGACAACUAUGAAAAAAACAAUAAUAUUAAAAAAAAAAAGAGCAAAUACCGCUUUCUUCAAGUAAGGAAGGAUGUCAACUCCUUGAUAUUUAAGAAUAUCAUAAGCCAUUUCAUUAACUGAAUUGAAUAAUGCGAGAAAACAUAAUUUCAUAUAGUCUGGAAGCCGAUCCAUGCAAUUUAGAUCCCAUCUGAAAUGAGAACAUAAAAAUAUUUUAGUUAAGGUUUUUUUUUUUUUAAAAGAAAAAACAAGUGAGCAAACUCUAAUAUAUAGCAUUAUAAAUGUGCCCAAGAGGCCAAGAAAUAGGUGCUGCACAAACCUUACAACGGCAUCUGUGAAUAGCUCAAGCUCAUCUAAGGUACCAUAGACAUCAUAAACAUCAUCAAUUGUUGUUAUAAGUGAAUUAACUUUUGUUAGCAUUCUCCUGCAAUUACCAAACUGAGGUUCAAAUAUGACCCCCACAGUCCAUAAGAAAUUCUCCACCAGCCUGUCCCUGGCAAAAUCCAACUUUUCUCCAAGUCCUGUCCUCUUCCACCACCUGUUCAUGUUAAGAAAUUAAACUGUCACCAUCAGAGAAAAGCUAUAUAAAGUAAACUAGUGAUAUAGGAGGAUCAUCAAAUCUAAAAAAGUUUAAAUUAUUACAUACAAUUUAAUGAAAUAAUAUUAAUUUUUAUAUAUAUGCUGUUUAAUUUGCUUCCAAAUUGUACAAAAUAAAUGAAUAAAUAAAGUAUCUUAUUAAUUCUACGUACCUAGAUGAAUGUUUCAGAUCUUCUUGGUGUAUUGCUUGUACCAUGUUGAAAUCCAAUUUAGCUAGUUCUAACAACACAGGUUCCAUAUCAGUUUUAGUUUCAUACACAUUGAUGAACCAAUUGGACUCCAAUCUUAGCAUCCUCCAAGCCAGUGGAAGCUCUAAGGCAUGGCUCACCAUCUUUGAAAGAUAUUCGGAAGGGUUGCACUUCUUGACAUAUUUUUCAAGAUUUUUGGUGGUGAAGUCUCUUGCAUCCUCCAAGAUGCUCUCGCCUUCUACCAAGAAGUAUGAAGCUUCAUACAGAAAUAGCAUUCCCUUCAAAUCUUCAUGAAUCCAUGCCCUAAAGUUUCCUUGUUCGUCCUUGAAAUGAUUGAAAACCUCUACAAGUGGAGAACACAAUUAGUCAUGAGAACGCAUAUAACCAUCAAUAUCUACAUUGCUUAAGAGAGUACUUACCUUGAGGUACCUUGUAUCCAUGCUGCCUUAGGAGUCGAAAUUCUAGAGCAGUAGCAUACAAGUCAUGUACUGUCUUUGUAUUCUCUACAUGAUUUUUAUAGAAUAAACUCUUCAACGUGCUCUUUAUUUCAUCAACAAAAUGGUAAGAUAACCCCAGUCUUUGCAAGGCAUCGAUUAGCUCAAGUUGAUCCAAGGGUUUCGAUGCGUUCGCCAGCAUCAUCCUUAUGUUUGCCUUCAACUUUUCGCUUCGCGCUGUAUAUGGCUCUCCCUAAACAACAUCAAAUUCAAGAACUCAACUCAAGUUGUUCGAACAAUAACAUAACAUGACAUUAUAAUAGCUAGCAACUAUACCUUAUAUUUACUAGUCAGUGACUGAACAAAAUCAUACUCCCAUAUGGAAGUUUGAUAAUUUGCCGACCGCCGGACAAUUUGACCAGCAGCUUCGGUGGCAACCAUGCAUCGAACUUUGGUAGGUAGAGAGCGAUAAUUCUUGCUUGAUACAGGUCCUGCUAAGGCGCGACUUGGAGAUGCUAAUGUUGGGAGAGUACAAAAUGAUGAAGCAAAGUGGGUAAGAGCCAUUCCUAAGUGUUUUGGAUUACUUGGAAUUUUUGAGUUGAGGAUGGAAAUGACGAUUACAUGCCGAUAUUUAUAGAUGGAUCAUCUAGCCUUACCAAACGUCGACGUCAAAGGUUCCAUGUUUAAAUUCUUACAGCACUGUCAGCCGAAAAAUCUACAUCGACUUUUGCAAAUCUACCUUAAGACAAUACUUGAAGAUUAACUCCUACUAAGAUAAACUUCAAUCAAAUCAAAUCAACCAAUGAAUUACAGCAAAGUUGUCCUUAAUUUGUUGAACUAACAUUAAUUAAUUAAAUAUCACGAUUCUAAGUUCGAUAAUAAUUUAAUAUCAUUGUUUUGAAUUGAAAUAUCAAUUAAAUUCCACCAAUUCCAACAAUAAAUUUCUAUUCAUCAAAAUAUAACAAAAAAAUAUUUCUUAUAAGAUUUAUUAUUUAGUUUAUUAAUAUUGCAUUUAAUUUAGGUAAUGAAUUUAUAGAGUAAAUUUUUUUUUUAAAAUUUUAAUAAAAUUUGAACAGAGUUUCUUAUAUAUAGUUAUACCUACACUUAAAAUUUUAUCCCGCUUAAAAAAACCUUCAAAGAACUACAAUAAUCAAACUCAAUAAAUUCUUAUAUUUUAUAAUCAUAAGUAGCUCAAGAAAUGCAAAUUAAAACACACGCAAAUAUAUAUGUUUGUUAUCUAUAAUAUAUUUACACUAUUUUUAUUUUGCAUUUUUUGUUUUAACGAGUUUUAAAAAUGGUGGUAUAUGGUAAUGUUGUGUUAUUAUGAAGAACAUGAUGUCAAUGAAUCAUCUCAACCCAAUAGCUUAAGCUGUUAGGUGAGGUUCAAGAUAUAAUUUAUAUUAUUCUCUAACACACCACCUCAAGUGAAAGCUCUUUGGGCUUGAAACUUGCACAGGUCAACAUUACCUUUUGCUUAAUUUUUAUCAAAUAAAUGAGGAUGGUGAGAUUCGAACUCGUGACCGCUUGGUCAUUAAGGCUCUGAUACCAUGUCAAUGAAUCAUUUCAACCCAAUAGCUUAAGCUGUUAGGUGAGGUUCAAGACAUGAUUUAUAUUAUUCUCUAACACAUAAGAGAUAAGAUCAUAUAUAUUUUUUAUAUAUUGUGCUAUCAUUUGUAUUGUAUUUACACAUGUUUUCACACAUUUUUAAAAUUAUAAUCUUAUCUUGUUACACUUUUAUUGUCCAAAACCAAACAAUGAAUUCCAACAAACUUGUCCUUAAUUUGUUGGAACUCUAAAAGUCAAGCCAUCAUAAAUCAAACCUAUCACUCUAUAUAUUUGUUAUUACAAGAACCUAAAAUACAUAGAAAACCAUUGUACACAUGCCUAAAAUCACAAUGGAUUAAUGUUUCUUCCAUUGACAAAAAAACUCAACAGAAUUGGUAUUGAGAGGUAAAAUAGAUUUUUCAUGAGGUUUAUUUGUGAUUCUGUAUUUGUUGAGUGGCAGCUCUAUCUUUUGACAUUUUUUUUUGCAUAGUAAAAUUACUUGAAUACCCUUCAAAGCAAGAAAAACACUUGCCUAUAAACAUUUUCAGUUUUUUCUUUUUUUAAGCAUAGUGUAAAGAUCCAAUUUCCCUUGUAAUCAAAAUUUUUUAAGGCAUGGCUUAAUAGGCUUUUUCAUCAUUUUAUAAAGGUUUUUUCAUAGUAAUUAUUUCGUGCUAGGAGUAAUGUGGUAAUUUGAUAAAUAAAUUUUUUAAAAAUAGAGAAAGCUAUUGCCUCUCCUUAGCCUUUAAAUAGCGUGUGCGAUUGACUCUAAUGGUUAAAAAUUAUUGUCCAAUGUGUUAUUGGAUUCCCUGCGACAUCCUAUUUUUCAAGCGACAAUGCAUGCACAUUGUUUUUAAACGGGUUAUUGUAGACAACAUUUUUAUUUUUUUUCCUUUUCUCUCUCAUCCAUUAAGACUGGCAUUGACCAUUUAAUAUUUUAGGGUAGCCCCCUUAGCUUUGCUUAUUUGAAUGUCGGUCAUUUUUUUAAUUUGUAUUUUUUUGUCUUUGGCCUUUUAUAGGUUUUCAAUUCUUUUUCAAUUUCAUCAUUCAUUCUAGAUUUAUUAUUUUUUACAUAUUUAAUUUUAGUCCAUAUUCUUUUUAUUCUUUUAAUUUUUUAUGCCUCUUUUGUGAACUUUCAAUUGUUUUUAAUUUCAUCAUUUGAUAAAAAAAUUUAUUUUUUAUUUUUAUUUAAUUUAGUCCUAAUUAUUUUGGUGAUUUCUUCUUUUAAUUAUUUUGUGAAUUUAUUUUUCUUUUCAAUCUAACACUUUAAUCCAAAAUUAUCCAUACUCUCAUUUGUUAUUUUUAAAGCAUUUUUUAUCCUUGUUCUUAUAAUUGCUAUGUUUUCUUUUUGAUUAUUUUGUAUAUUUUUUUUAAUUUCAUCAUUUAGGAUUUAAUUUAUUAAAAAUUAGACUUCAUGAUUUUUUUUUCAGGUAUGAUACUUCUGAUUAAAUAGCCCGGGUCACGGGUUUUAUAAGCUAAUACAAGUUGAUAUCAUUUCUUAAACUUAUUUUCUUUUCGAUCUCAUUACUAAAUAUUGAUCUUUUUAUAAAUAAAUUAGGUUUUGUGGUCAGUGGUUUUGUUAGGUUAAAUUGUUUUUCACUUAAAAAAUCAUCAAAUUAAUACUUUUAGAUGUUUUUUUUUAAUGAUUUUAAUAUAUUAAUGUGAAAUUAAAAAAGAAUCUAAAAAAUACUAUAAUAUAUUUUUAAUUAAAAAAUACUUCUAAAAAAAAACCUUACAUCAAAUUACAAAAGAUGAUAUAAAUGUGAGCCAAAUAAUUUAAGAAACGUUAAGCUUAAGUUAAAGUUGGAUCAAUUAGCUACCUAAUAACACAAGUGGCCCACUCAUAGUCUUCGAUCAAUUUGCUACCUAACAACACUCUGUUUCCCAUUCCAAGAUUUCCCCAUAUCAAAGUAAUUGUAGCAAAGACAAUGUCUUUUUCCAUCACAAAUUGAUUGCACUUUUUGAUUAAACUAGUCCCUCCUUUUUGAUGAAAUUAUAAAGGCUUGAUAAGCAAGGUUACCUCUAAAACUCUAUUUUCUAUCGCAAAACACUUUUAAUUAACUUAAAAACUAAAAAUUCAAACAAUUUUUUUUUUUAAAAUCCCCAACCCCAACCCCAAAUAAGAAUACGAAUCUAUAGUUAACACCCACCUUUUUUAGUUGUUUUAUAGAUGCUAACUUCAGAUCUUCUAGUGAUUUUUUUUUUCUAGCUCCAAGACUGCAAGCCUCUCAUGUUUUCUCCCCUCCUCUGCCAUUGUUUCAGAACUAAUCCUUAUUGUCAAACUAUUGGAGGCAAGAUUAUCAAACUAUUGAUAAUUUAAUAUAAUUUUUCCCUCUUUUCAAGAGCAAAAUCAUUUUCUCUAUUUUUGAUAUAUAUGCUGUCUAUAUAAUUUCAUCAAUGCUUUAACAAUUUAAUGCAAGUAUUCACUAGAUUUCCGAAUAUAGAAGUAUAUAUCUCAAAUUGAAAUUCUUUUAUAUCCUUAAAUAGAAAAACAUAAUCCACUAAAAAUAAAAUCCUAACAUACCGAAUAUCCUAAUAAGUCCUUCUAUUUAAAUAAAAUUAAUUUUUUUGAGAAAAUCUUAACAAUUAAAUAAAAAUAAUUUAGUCUAAAAUAAUGAAAUUUCCAUCCCCACGAUCAUAUUUUCCAAAAAAUUAAAGCUCGGACAGAAAUUUUGAAUUUUGUUUUUAGGCUUCCUUAAUUGCCUUGGCUUGAGCCAUAAAACAAAGGGCAAUUUCGAAAUUUCCCAGUUUAAGUUUUUUUUUAAUUUCUUAAUAUCUUAAAAACUUCCAAAAUUUCAAUGAUUGAUUUUUUUUUUUUAUGUUUUGAAUUAUUUCUAAAUUUUUAAUUUUCUAAUGUACUGUAUAAAAGUGAGGAAAUCACUUUCAAACACGGUGAGCAUUUGAGAUAGAUAGAUAGAUAGGUAGAUAGAUAGAUAGCUUCCCUGUUUGAAAUGUAAUCUAUAAGGGCAAAAAAGCAGUCACAAUCCAAAUGCAUGUAAAAUGUGGAACCCUGUUAAGAAAAGUUACCUUAUAGAUGGCCAUGAUCAACACUUUUGAUUGAUUGAGUGGAAUUAUAAAUAAGAUUGAACGUUAAACAGUGUUUGGCAAUAAUCUUGAAUCUGAUUUUCGAAAAGAUAGAAUGUAAACCACAUGUUUAUACAUAGGUGGGGGUAUGAAUCAUAGACUUAGAAAUCGAUCAAUUUUUGUUUUUGUCAUUGGGAUUGAUUGAUUUGAAUCAGAGGCUUCAUUAGUGUAUGUAUAUAUAUGUAUUUGAAUGUAAGUGAUAUGCAUGAAUUAUAUUUGAAUUAAUUCACAGAUAAGAGCCUUCAUGAAACAUUUUGAUCGGAUUUAACCAUUUAUUUACAAAGAUUUCUCAAUUUGAACCAAUCUAACUAAGAUGUGUUAAAUUAAAAGCUGUCCACAAAUUAUCCAACCAGUUGAAGAAAUAAAAAAACACCCUUAGUAAAGAGAGGAGGAAACCACCGGAACUAUAAGAAAUAAUUUUUUAUGUCGUGAAAAUGAAGUUCUGAUCAAUUCUUAUGAAGGCGACCUAAAGGGUUUCUAUUGGCUAGAUUUUGUAAUUUUUUAAAGGGUUUCUCUUGGCUAGAUUUUGAUAUGUUAUCUGAUAUCAUAUUAUAUAUUUUGUAAUUUAUUUGUAUUUUUUAUAUGUAUGUUUUCUCAUUUGCUAUCAUUGUUUUUUUUUUUUUUUUCAUAUGAUUCAAAUAAAUCCAACUUAUUUAGCUGGUUGGAACUAUAAUCUAAGUUUGUUUUUUACACUAGACCCACACAGAACAUAUAUAUAUAUAUAUAUAUAUAUAUAUAUAUAUAUGUUGAAAAAAUAAUACAGACAUGCAUCGCGUUGCAACGCGGGUAGCCGGGUACCAAUCUAGUAUGUAUAUAUAUAGGCACACGUAAACGGCUUAUAGAUGUGGAACGUAGGCGGGUAGCCGGGUACCAAUCUAGAACGUAGGCCGUUUACGUGUAUAUACUUGCUUAUAAGUGAUUAAGCAGUCACAGUCUAAAUGCAUGUAUAAUGUGGAACCCUCUUAAGAAAAGUUAGCUUAUAAUGGAAUUAUAAAGAAGAUUGAACCUUAUACAGUUUUUGGCAAUAAUCUUGAAUCUGAUUUUCCAAAAGAUAGAAUGCAAACCACAUGUAUCGCACGUGUGCGGCGUCGUGAUGAUCAUCCUCCACACUCAUGUUUGUGUAUCUGGAAAAUAUAGGGAGACAAGGAAUUCUUGUCUUUUUAUCAGUGAAAAAAAUAUAAUGGGAGUCGCCACCUAGUAUUCUGGUCACUAGGAACCCUAACUGGUCUCAGAGAUCGGGUACGGAGACUGGUUGUGUAAAGGGAAGGUAUUAGCACCCCAAAUACACCCUACCUAAGGUAAGCUGUAUUGUUUUAUUUGUCUGGUCAAAAUCUAAGGUUUGGUCGCAUUUUCUAAUUGUUGGUCCUGUCUGUCUAAGAUUCAAGAAAAGCCCUCCUCAAUAAGGAGGUUCUUAUCUUAAUGGGGUAAAACCUAACUGUUCUAGCGUCAAAUAAAAAAACUACCUUUUUAAUAUCGGGAAAACAUUUUACGUAUAAAUUCGUAAUCCCGGAUGUUAAAAGAAAAUAAAAUAGUUUUUUUGAAUUUUUUUGAAAUAUUGGCCAAGUUCUCGUGACUUUAAUAAACUGGUUAUUAAAGCCAAAAUGCAUGUUAAAACAUAAUUUUUUUUGAAGUUUUAUUUGUUGUAUGAAAAUACAAUAUGAUGUUUUUUUUGCUUUUAGAGACUUGGCCGUAUGCAUGAAAACAAAGACAUUUUUUUUUUCAAAGUUUUGACGAAAAUCGGGUAUUUUAAUACCGGAUUUGUAUUUUUAUGGUAUAAAAAUACAAACCAAUAUUAAGCAAAAUUUAGUAGAAAAAUACGCGAAAAAAUCACAGAUUUUGACGAAAAUAUUUUUUGGAAUUUUUUUUGGACGGGCCGAAACCGGCUCAGAAAUUUUGGGCUGGGCCGGACAAGUGAACAGUGGAGGAGGGAACCAAAGAAGAUGAAGUGGAGGAGGAAGAAGAAGAAGGAAGAGGGGCGGACCUGCGGUGCUGCUAGCGGUUACUGAUCGGAGAAUGGCUUGGACGGCGGUCGACCCUUCUUCUUCUUCUCUGCUUUUUUUUUCUGCUCAGUUCUUCCUCUCGUUCCCUGUUUUAUUCCUUCUCCCUCUCUCUGGUCGUUCUUCUAUUUCUGUGGUAGCAAUUGUUGUUGCUUACGGUGUUGGUGGUGACGGUGGUGGCCGAAUGUGGCUGCAGAUGGUGGUUCCAGGCGGCGGCUUCUCCUCCUUUCUCCUCUGUUUCUACUUUUCCUCUGUCUGUCUCUGCUUUUGCUUCUUCUUCUGUUUCUCACGGUGCAGGGGCUGUUAUCAAUGACGGGGAGGACGGUGACAACUGAUGGUGGCUCUGGGGUGGCGGCUAUGCGGACAGCAGCCGGUGGUUCUUCCUCCUUUCUCUCUUUCUUUGUUUUCACUUCCAAGACUUGGCAAUGGUGUUGGUGGUGCUGCUGCUGUUCUUCUUGUCUGUGCAGAGGCGCAUGCUUCUUCUUCUUCUUCUUCUUCACGGGUGUUGUAGCAGGGAGAGGAAGGUGGUGAGAGGCUGAGGAAGAAUGACAAUGGCGUUAGCAGUGUGGGUGGCGGUGGUGAUGGAGAAUGGCAGCGGUUCGCGGUAGGGAGAAAAACAAUGGCCACCAACGAGUGUUCUUCCCCUGUUUUAAAACAGACUCCUCCCUGUUUUCAAAUUUUUCUCUUUUCAAAACCUUCCCCCCUCCUUUUGUCUUCUCCCUUCUCUGUAUUUAUAGCCGCAGGAAGAGAGGGGCACCUUACCACUGCCAUGGCACAGGGUAAGGUGGCUACGCUGCCCAUAUCUUGGCACAGGGUAGGGUUGCUGGUCAUGGCUUGCAUUAAUGGUGGCAGGGUAUGGGACGUGGCUCGUGUUUUUGGGCAAGUGAGGAGAGCAAGAUAGAUAGGGAGAAUAGUGGAAAAAGAUUUAAAAUCUUCUUCUUCCCUGCCUCUGCAUGGGCAUGGAAGAAGGAGAAAAGCGCCGUUCAAAACGACAUUGUUUUGGUGUUUUUUUUUUGAAGAAAAGAAAAUGUAAUUUGAAAGAACCAAAAAAUGGGUUAUGACAACAUGUUUAAUGUAUUGGGAUGGAUUGAUUUGAAUCAUAGACUUAGAAAUCGACCAAUUUUUGUUUUUGUCAUUGGGAUUGAUUGAUUCGAAAAAUCUAUUUGUUGCAUCCUUCUAUUAUGAAAAAGCAACAAUGAAUCUCAAAUACAUAUUUGCUAUUUGUUUCAUUCUGACUCUCACAAUGUCUAGAGGAUGCUCCAUUUAUGAUAUUAGUUGAAAUCCAUUCCCUUUCGUCAGUUAAAUUUAUAUAUAAAAAAUUAUAUAAUAUAAUUGAAGUCCUGACAAAAUUCCAUUUAGUCCCUAGUUUAAAAAAAAAUAAAAAAAAUUAAAAUCUUUUGGUCCUUGUAUAGUAAAAAUUAAAAUCUAGUAUUUAUGAUUCCUUUUGUAAUUCACUUCAUAAUUACUCUUAAUCGUGUAAUGGUUUAUUACUUUUUUUUAAUAUAUAUUGUCGCACGUCAAAAUCCACGCGGCGUCGGCUGGCGAUUUUUUUCGUUGUCGUUUUGCUUGAUUUGAUUGGUUCGUUGGAGUCGCCACCUAGUAAUUUAUUGAAGGCUACUAGGAAACCAGAUGUACUGGUCUUGUCAGAGAUUCACGGGUAAGGGACUGGUUGUAGUUAGAGAAGGUAUUAGCACCCCUAACGCACCCUACCUGAGGUAAGCUGCUUCGCGGCUUUGAUGUGUUAAAGAAGUUUUAAUAAUUGUCUUUUCAUUGGAUAUUAGAAAUACGACUUACGUGUAAGUUCAUAAUUCUGGACCGUGAGCCAAUCAAAAUAUUAGAUUCUUCUUUUUUCUUUGCAAUUUUAUCAUAAAAAAAAUCCAUAAAUAAAUAAAUAAAUGAAAACCCAAACACACACACACUCACUUUUACUAUAUAUUUUUUUGUUUUGUUUUGUUUUUCUUCUUUUUGUUUUUUUUUUCAUCUACACUUCAAAGUACAAAUUCAAAACAAACUAAACAAAAAUUACAUUACACUUUGAAAAUUACAAAAACAGCCCCUAAAAAAAAUCCUGGAAUUGAUGGGAACGUUUCUGUGAAUCCAGGGACACCUGGAACAGUGGCGGCGCGUCCUCUCCAUGCGCCACGCCACUGGCGGCGCGUGGUUCACGCGCCGCCGCGAGAACAACCCAGAAACAGGGCAAAGAAGAUUGGCUUCUUCUCCUCUUCUUUUCCUCACCGGCGGUGAGAAUCACUGUCACCUGCAAAAGGAGAAAAACACACAAGGCAGUUGAUUUUAAUUUCUUUCUCUUUCCCGGUCUCGGGUCUGUUCUUUUUCUGCUCUGAUUUGUUGUUCUUUUCUUCUUUCAGUGGCAGAUCUGCCAUGGAGGACCCAACGUUGUCAGUGAGGAGGCGGCGUUGCUGUGAUAGGAAGGAGGCGCCGUUGCAAGGCUGGCGGGGAGGAGAUGAAGAAGACAGCGGGGGCUGCUGCUGGAGGCCGGUCUGCGCCGAUGAGGGAAGCUUUGUCGCGUCUGUGCUGAUGAUGGAGACCGUGGCCUGUGGCCGGUUGAAGAGGGAAGAUCUGUCGGCUGCGUGCUGGAAGGCGGUGCCCUCGGUGGCUGAGAGAAGACCUGGUGCGUGGCUGGUUUGUUGUGGUCUGAAGAGAUGAUGGGGAUGGCUCUGUGGGCGUUGCUGCGGCUGACAGAGGGGAGCUUGUUCGGUGUGUGCAGCGGCGGCUAACUUCUAUGGGUGAAGAAGAAGAGCAAACCGGCUGGGAGAGAAGAGGAUAUAGGGAGUGUUGGCUGUAGUGGAGGGAAAUGGGGCUGCACGGGUUAGAUGAAGGGGAGAGGUUGUUGGUUUUGUGAGAUGGGAGGCUGUGAGCGGGGGAAGAGGAAGAGGCGGGGAGAGUGGAAGGAAGAGGAUGAUCAGCCGAAAAGGAGGGGGGUGCCGCUCCUUUGAAAAAGAUGGGUUUAGGGUUAGGGUUUUCUUUUUUUGUAUUUUUCUUAUGUUUCAAAAUUUCCCCCACCUUGUUUGCGUGAAGACCAGUAUUUAUAGGUAAAAAUAUUGCUAGGUUUUCAAAAUUGGUCCCUCAACUUUUUUUUUGUAAAUUUUGAUUUUUCUUGUUUUUUUUGUAUUUUUUGAAAACGAGCAAAUCAACAUCGACUCAAUGAGGAAAAUCAAUGAUUUAAAAAAUAACGUGUUAAAAGUUGAACGCGUUCCAAAUAUCUUUGAAAAUUUAAAUUCUUUUGAGACGAUGCUAAAAAUGCUAAAAAUGAUGCAAAUGUAUUAAAAACGUAUUUUUUGGAUUUUCAAUGUUUUUCGCUAUUUUUGGAUUUUUCUGAAAAUUUAUCAAAACAUGGGUCAAAAAUUGGGUAUCAACAGAUGCCCCCUCUUUACAAUGCUUACGAAGCAAACUCCUCAAUGUUUUGCAUAGUAAGCUUUGUAAAGAAAAACUUGUCUUCUUAUCUUCCUAACUUGCUCAAUAUCCACUCAUUUAAAGACCUUACUUUUUUUCUUUUUCUGUUUCUUUCUCUUUUCCUUCUCUUUUCUUUCUCUUCUUUCUUCCUUUCUCUCUCUUUUUUUUUCGUUAUCCAGAGAUCCCAUCUGGCGACCUCCUUUACCAAAACCAAAGAAUGUGUUUAGCUUGGUCAACCUGAAACCCCAUUUGGCGAUUCCUUUUAACCAAAGCUACUUGAGAUCCCAUCUAGCGACCUCAUUCAACUGACCUAAAAAAUAUGCGUAGCUCGAUCGACCUGAAAUCCCAUCUGGCGAUUCCCUUUAACCAAAGCCACCUGAGAUCCCAUCUGGCGACCUCAUUCAACUGGAAUUAAAAAAAUAUGUGUAGCUCGGUCAACCUGAAAUCCCAUCUGGUGAUUCCCUUUAACCAAAGCCACCUGAGAUCCCAUCUGGCGACCUCAUUCAACUGGAACUAAAAAAAUGUGUGCAACUCGGUCAACCUGAAAUCCCAUCUGGUGAUUCCCUUUAACCAAAGCCACCUGAGAUCCCAUCUAGCGACCUCAUUAAACUGAAACUAAAAAAUGUGUGUAGCUAGGUCAACCUGAAAUCUCAUCUAGCGAUUUCCUUUAACCAAAGCUACAUAAGAUCCCAUCUGGCGACCUCAUUAAACCAAAACCAAAAAAUAUGCGUAACUCGGUCAACCUGAAAUCCCAUCUGGUGAUUUUCUUUAACCAAAGCUACAUGAGAUCCCAUCUGGCGACCUCAUUAAACCAAAACCAAAAAUGUGUAAAAAGUGGUCUAUUGUAAUGGGUGACCUACCCAGGUGGAAAGAAUGUGAAAAACGGUCUCUUUGUAAUGGGUGACCUACCCAGAUGGAAGAUGAGAAAAAUGUGAAGUGGUCUCAUUGUUAUGGGUGACCUACCUAGGUGGAAGAUGAAAAAAAUAUGAAGUGGUCUCAUUAUUAUUGGUGACCUACCCAAAUGAAAGAUAUGAUGUGACAAGUGUGAAAAAUAGGACUUACCUGGCGAAGUCCUGAAGGGAUGAUAGAAGAAGGGCUGGAAAACAUGAUGCUUAUUGAUAAUUCCCGAUCGCAGGGUUUGAAAACUUGAUGCUUCCUGAUUGCAAGGUUGAUCUUUCCAUUUCUUUGAGAUUUCCAUAAUGGUAGGGUUCAUCUCAUCUUCUUCUUAUUCCAUGAUCAAAACCGAUUCUUUGUUAUCAUCAAUGCAAUGCUUCUUUCUUUUUCCACAAUCUUGCUGGACCUCAUUGAGGAUUUUUCCUGUAACAAUUCAAAGACAAUUGUGCAAUGUUUUGAGGUUAGAUGACAUGCAUGCAUUCUUACCUGAUUUGGUACAUUUUGUUGUAACCCAUUUUUGGGUCCCAAAAUAAAUGAAAUAAAAUAAAUAGCCAAAGGAGGUUAGAAAAAUAACAGGAGGCAGAAACGCUCAGCAAAUGGUCAGAAAAAUCGGUCAAGGAGGUUAAAAAUACAAAGAUUGGAUUUUUGACAGUAUAUUCUUGAAGGAUGAGAGCCAUGUUGAGAAGGAAAUUUGAAUUUUGAGGAGAAAAACCCAAGUUUGGAUGUUUAUAGACUUAAUUGGAUUUUUAAUUGAUUUUAUAGGGGAUUUGAUUGCAAGAAAAUUGAUUUUUAAGUCAAUUUAGGCUUUAAUUGAAAGAAAUUUAAGUUAUGGGGCCAAAAUAUAUUUUUUAGGAAUUUAUUGGGUCAAAUCAGGGGUUUAAUUGAAUAAAUAUUGAAGUUUAAUGACCAAUUAGGGGUUUAAUUGAAAAAACCGAAACCAGGGACCAAUUUGGAAAAACCGGGUAAAUAGAGGCGGCUGUUUUACUUUGGUUUAGGGGCCUAAUUGAAGAAAUUGGAAGUUUAUUGAUCAAUUGAGGGCUUAAUUGCAUAAAUUAGAGGCCAAGGACUGAAGUGAAAAACGCGGCCAACUAUGGGGGCGGAGAUCGAAUUUGGCAGGGAUACAAUUGAAAUGAACAAGAAAUGAUAGAUGACUGAUUUGAAGUUUGGCUCAUUUAAAUGAAACGGCGCGUUUUAUCCAAAACGACGUCGUUUCAUAAAAAAAAAAAAAAAAAAAAGAGGAAGGCCAGAACGGUGUCGUUUUGAACGACACUGUUCAUCUUCCUCCUUCCCCCGUUGAACAACAACAGAAGACAAAAACCAUUUUCAAAAACCGUCCCGCCUCUCUCUCCUCGUCCCCACCGAAGCCCCACACCUUUAGACCACCGAACGGGUCACUGGCCGACCAGCCGUUGCGUGAUUGAAGGCGCACCUGCUCCAUAUUUUCCUAUAAAUAGAGAGAGACCGAGGGGAAGAAGGAAAAAAAAAGAACGCAGGAGAGAGAGGAGAGGAGAGAGAACAAACAAGAGAGACGAAAAAGAGGAAGGAAUAAACCGAAAACAAAGAAAAGAAAACCGAAAACAAAGAGAAAGGAAGAAAAAAAGGGGGAAGGGAGGAGAGAACCCGAAGAAAAAAACCGGAGGAAGAAUUGGAGAAAGAAGGCAGGAGAGAGAGAGGAGAGGAGAAAUAACACAGAAGCAGUAGAGAAGAGGAAGAGCCAACCUUCGGUCAGCAACCACCAGCAAAACCACCACCAGCACCACUGUCAGCUCCUCUACCCAAGCUCAUCGUCGCAGGUAACUCUUCCCCUGUUCAUCUUCUUGCAUGUAGAACGUGCACUGUGCACGUUCUGCAAGCAAGAAAUUAAUUAGCUGGUUACUGUGCAGGGGCACAGUAACCGGCUAAUUAAUUCCCCCAAUUAACAUGUUACUGUGCAUGUGCACAGUAGCCACCUAAUUAAUUAACGGGUUACUGUGCUUAUGUACAGUAACCCCGGUUACUAUUUGUGCACAGUACCCCGUCUGUCACUGUUGUGUACAGUAUCCCGUCACAGAAGAAGCAUGAUGGCCUGUUGGGCCGAGAUCGGCCCAACCUUUCUUUGUUGGGCCGAGUCCGGCCCAUUUAUUUGGGCCGGCCCAGCCCGAUUUGUUUUAUAUUAUAUAUUAUAUAUUAUAAUAUGUUAUAAUAUAUGUGUGUAUAUAUGUAUAUAUAUAUAAAAUAUGAUAAUUAAAAAUAUAUAUAUAUUUGGAAAAAUCUAAAACAUAUGGUUGAUUUUUUUGCAUAUUUUUAUCAAAGUGGUUUAAUGUUGGUUUGUAUUUUUAUACCGUAAAGAUACAAAACCAGUGUUAAAAAUACCCGGUUUUCGUCGAAAUAUCAAAGAUUUUCAGAAUAAAAAAUGUUUUUGCUUUCAAAAAAAUUCUAAAAAAUCCCUAAAAAUGUGGUUGAUUUUUCUGCAAUUUUUUAUCAAAGUGGAUUAAUAUUGGGUUGUAUUUUUAUACCGUAAGGAUACAAGCUCAGUAUUAAAAUACUCAAUUUUCGUCAAAGCAUAAAAAAUAAUAUUUUCCAAAAAAAAUUGUUUUUUGUUUUAAAAUACGGCCUAGUCUCUCCAAUAUAUAUAUAUAAAUAUUAUAACAUCAUAUUUUUACACAACAAAGGAAAUUUUCAAAAAACAAUAUAUGUAUUAGCAUGCAUUUUGGCUUUAAUAACCAGUUUAUUUAAGCCAUGAGAACUAGGCCAAUAUUUCAAAAAUUCUAAAAAAUCUUUUGUUUUCUUUUAGUAUUUGGGAUUACGAAUUUAUACGUAAAACGUAUUCCUAAAUAUUAAUAAUAAAGUUUUGGUAUAGACAUUAGAACAGUUAGGACUUUACCCGAGAAGAUAAAGACCUUCUUACUGAGGAGGAUUUUUCUUGAACCAUAGACAGACCAACAACUAGGAAAACACGAAAACACCUUAAAUUUUAUCAGACAAUAAAACGAUGCAGCUUACCUUAGGUAGGGCGUAUUUGGGGUGCUAAUACCUUCCCUUUACGCAACCAGUCCCCGUACCCGAUCUCUGAGACCAGUUAGGGUUCCUAGUGACCAAAAUACUAGGUGGCGACUCCCAUUCCAUUUUCUACCAAUAAAAGACAAUAUUUUCUUGUCUCCCCACAUUUGCCAGAUAGAUACCAUACACACUUCCUAGAUUUUUAAAAGUGGAAUAUUCGCCGCGACGCCGCGCACCCGCGACACAUUUGUUUGCAUUCCAAAGCCUUCUUUGUCCUUCUGAUUUACCAGCUUAUCCGUGUGCUAGCCACCCACUCAACUGUAAGUGUCAUGCCUAUCUUGGGAUAUCCAUGAUGAUUACUCCUCUCGUUGUUUAUCAAGCAUGACUGUGCCCCCAAGUGUGGUGUUGCUUGAUUCAUUAUGAAUGAGCUUAAUCGAUCAUUCAUCUUUUUCCCAAGAGGCAUGAUCCAAUUCAUAUUAACAACUCAAAUAUUUAUAAUAUUUAUCAUGCAUAUGGAAAAUUAUCCACUCACCUGAUUAAAAAACAAACCAAACACAAAAGCAGAUAUCGAAAAAAAUUCUACUGAUGUCCUGCAAGUAGAAUAUCAGGAUUAUCUGAAUACAAAAUGAGACAUGCUAAAAAAUGACUCAAAAAGAACUUACAACCUAUUUAAUACACUUAACUAAGGGUUUAUUCCAUAACCCUAUAUGUUUUUGAGCUAAUUAGUCAUUUUUUCCAAAAACCAAAAAAUUAAACGAUUUUUCCAAAAUUUAAUUCAUAAGAAAACAAAUAAUAAGACUUGAUAAUAAUUCACUAAAUAACCCUCAAUUAUUCAUCAAACCAAUAUGAAAAAUCUAAUAUUACAUCUAGGGACCAAUUUGAAAAUUUAUCAUAUUUUUAGGGGUCAAAUUGUAAUUUUAAGAAAUUGGAGGACCAUACUAAAAAUGUCAUAAAUUCAUAACCAUACUAGAAUCUUGCCCAUAAUUUAUCCUCAGUUCCGUACAGAAUCUCAAAUUAUGCUCCAGGUACCAUUAUGUAAUUUUAGCAUAUUUUUAGGGGUCAAAUUGUAAUUUUGUCAAAUUGGAGGACCAAACGGAAAAUAUCAUAAAUUCCUAACUAUACUGGAAUUUUACCCAUAAUUUAUCCUCAGUUCUGUCUAGAAUCUAAAAUUAUGCUCCAGGGACCAUUUUGGAAUUUUUAGCAGAUUUUUAGGGUCAAAUUGUAAUUUUGUUAAAUUGGAGGACCAAACUGAAAAUGUCAUAAAUUCAUAGCUAUAUUGGAAUUUUGUCCAUAAUUCAUCCACAAUCCUGUCCAGAAUCUCAAAUUAUUCUCUAGGGACCAAUCUGUAAUUUGUUUCCAAAGUUCGGGGACUAAACUGUAAUUUUCACAAAUUGAGGAACCAAAUUGAAAUUUCAUCAUCUUCAACCUCAAACCCAGAUUUUUUCUAUAGAACACCUACUGAUAUAUCAAGAUUUCUAACUCAAAUUCAUCAUUUUAACAAACCAUAACUCAAAAUCAUUAUUUUUACCUAAAAUCUUUUAAAAUCAACUAAUUAACUGAUCAAUACCCAUAACAAUCAACCCAUAAUAUUCAAAUCAAUUCAUCAAUCAAACCCAAAACAAAAUAUCUAAAACUCUAAUCUUCAACAAAACAUAAAAUUAAAGCUAAAAAAACACAUUUAUACACAUCAAAUCAUAAAUCUUACAUUUUAAAUUUAUUUUCUCUAACUCUCUUCUCCUUCCUUUAUUUUUCCCUCUUUUCUCAACUUCUUUCCCUUUUCUUAUGUCCUGCCGGCCCUCACUCUGAAUUUUCAGAUCCUUCUUUCUUUCUAUGUUUUUUUUUAUAAUAAUACUCUUUAUUCAUUUACUCUGAAUUUCAUUUUUUUUAUACAUGAAAUCUUUUAAUAUUUUGGAAAAAAAAUAUAAAUCCAAAAACUCAAUUUACUAGAAAAAAGUUCAGAAAUCAUUUAAUAUAAACAAUAAUUUUUAUACUCACUUUUAUUUAUUUGCAGUCCCUAUUAUGUUAUAUUUCAAGGCCGGCCAAGUUUAUAUGGAUCUACUGUAUGAAAAAAAAAAGUAUUUGGUUAUUGUUAUAAAAUAAAAGAGAUGAAAAAUAAUAAAUAUAUAAAUAUAUUUGGUUAUAGAGAUGAAAAUAAAGAGUUAGUAAUGAAUGUGUUUCGGAUACCAUUUUUAAAUGAAUUUCUGUAUUUUUAUAAUUUUUGUAUAGAAAUGAUAUGUUUCCACGCAACCCAGAUUAUCUUGCUACUAUGCAAUCAAGUCUAUUUUGAGGCUAAACUGUCUCAAAUCAUUUGAAGCCAUUUCAUGAUUGAAGACAAAAUUGAACCUUUUUUCUUAUGCUUCAAUACCAAAAUCAUUUUUGAUAUUCUAUUAUAAAUAGCCUUCCUUAUAUGAUUUAGAUACUCAACCAGCAAUUAAAGAACAGGCCUCUAGUUCAUCUAAAAAAAAUGGAAACCCAAGCACAUUUAACAGCAAGCAGUAAUCGCCAAAACAAUUCUUGUCCAGAGGCAAAUUUCCCAUACCGUUUGUGGGGUUGUAGCUUCGCUUCAUUUUCCUUCCCACAAACGGUAAAUUACUUCUCUUCUAUAUAUGUCUAGCAGUAUUAAGAAAAAUUAUGUUUCAAAACUAUAUACAAGCUAUUAGAGCCAUUAGAUUUGUGGGAUCUAUCAUCCAAUUCUGCCCUAAGAUUAGAAUAUGAUGUUUCAUAAUUUGUUUUUAAUUUUUUAAUUAUAUAUUACCUGUCUGUGUGUUUUUUAAUGAUAAAAUCAUAUAUAUCCUAUGUCUCCACUCCUCUCAGGUCAAAGUUGAUGUUAAAGUAGUUACACUUUUGUCUAGCCGUUGAUUGCUUUUAUUUUAAACAAAGAAUUCAUCUUUUGAUAGAGUAAAAUUCUUUUUUUUUUCUAAGGAUUAAGCAUAUAGUUUCCAAAACUUUAAUAAUUGUUUAAUUAGUUCAGAUAAACUAGAGAUUAAGUUAUAACUAACUCUUUGUUUUUUUGUAUGAAGUAAUCAUUUUAAAAUCUAAUAAUUGAUUCUUACUGAAUAUUUCACUGCAGGAAUUCAUUAAUCAGUUAUGUCGGCUUGGUGUGUCAUAUCAUUUUGACGACGAGAUUGAAAACAGCCUUAAAGAAAUUUUUUAUGACCUUCCUAAUCUUCUUGAGAAGCAUGACUUUGAUCUCUCCACUGUGUCACUACUAUUUCGAGUAUUCAGACAGCAUGGAUUCAAAAUGCCUUGCGGUGAGCGCAUACUUCCACUUUAUAGCCUUUCAAACCUUAAUUAACAUCUCCAAAACUAAUUCUUUGACACUAUGAGAGCAUUAAUUAAUUUCAGAGGAAAAAUUAAAUCUUAACACUUCAAGAAUUAAUUCUGCUAAAUCUUUCUUUCAUUUACAAGAAGUAAUCUAUGGUCAAAAUAAGAUUAUGAAAAAAAUUGACUAGAACAGUAAAAUUAUUCCUUCAUGAAACUAAAUAGAUAUUCUUUCAUAAUCCACAAACAUCUUUUGAAAAUUGGCUAAAAUUUGUGUUGUGUUUUUUUUUUAUGAAUCAUCAGUUGUGUUCGACAAGUUCAAGGACACCAAUGGAGAGUUUAAGAAAACAAUCAUCAACGAUGUUAAAGGCAUCCUGAGCUUGUAUGAAGCUUCAUUUUUAAGUGUGCAUGGAGAACAGGUACUUGAUGUAGCCCUUGUUUUCACAAAGGCAAACCUGGAGUCUUUGGCUAUACAAUCAAGCCCACGUCUAGCAGACCAUAUUAGGAAUGCUUUGAUCCGGCCCUUUCACAAAGGCGUACCAAGAAUAGAGGCUAGAAAAUACAUCUCUUUCUACGAAGAAGACGAGUCUCGGAAUGACACUCUACUCAAGUUUGCCAAGAUAGAUUUCAAUCGAGUUCAGGUACUGCAUCAACAAGAGCUAUCCAUUCUCUCGAGGUAAUUUUGUAUUCGAGUUGAGAGAGACAUCAGACUAAGUUUCUAUUGGAAUUUAUUUACUCGGUUGCUAUUUACAUUUUAGGUGGUGGAAUGAUUUAAAUUUUGCUGAGGAGUUUCCUUAUGCAAGAGAUAGAAUCGUAGAGAUCUAUUUCUGGGCAAAUGGAAUCCAUUUCGAGCCUCAAUAUGCUUUCUCUCGGAUGAUGGUCACGAAAUAUACAAAAAUUGUAUCACUGGUAGUUGAUACAUAUGAUGCUUAUGCAUCUUUUGAAGAAAUACAACGUUUUACUAAUGCAAUUGAAAGGUUUGUUUCUUGUUACCUCAUAGUCUGUCUUUCUGUUCUAAAUCUUUCAUAAACAAAGAAGUUGAUACAAAGAUGUUCAGGAAAGGAAAUGGAAUUUUCUGUCUCAAUUUCAGAUGCAGCAUGAAUGCUAUUGAUCAACUACCUGCCGAUUACAUGAAAGUUCUGUUGGGGAAUUCCGACCGGUGAUGUUCUGAUAUUUGCCCAUAGGAGGCUAAGCACACUGACACAAUAUUUUACGUGGUUCGGCAAAACCGCCUACAUCCACGGGAGAGUCCAUAUUAUUAGAGAUAUAUAGAGAAAGGAUUACAACAUACAUGGAGGAGGAGGAUCACUUCACUCAAACUCAACUCCCAGCUCUUUUGCUGCACUUGCAGCUGCUGCAAUGGCAGCAAGGCUGCUGCCAUUGCAGCUCUCUCUUUCUCUCCACUCUCUUGCACACACUCACGUUCUCUCUCUCAUUUUGCUCUCUCACGUAUGCCUAUAAAUAGGCAAGUAUGGUGGCUUCUCUUCUUCAACAACAGCAGCUGCACAUGGGUUGAUACAUUUGUCAAUGGUGGGUGCAACUACCAUUGACAAAUGGUAACCCUACUCCUUAGGGUAGGUUGCCCAAUAAUGACAAAUCCCAACAAUCACCCCCUUUGACAUUUAUAUGGGCAAUUGUCCUCUUGCUUCUUCAGCACAAACUUAUAUCUUGCAGCUCUUCCAAGCUUACCAUUCCGAGAGCGUCUGUGGCCGAGUUUACAGGUACUCGCCAAACCUUUCAAUCACCAGAGUCACCAAAGCACACCUUUUCUCACACAAAAGGAUCACUACAACCAGAUGGUCUGCCACUAGCCAUCACAUUGGCUCUGGGGUUGUUCUGAACUGGGCUCAUAUCGUGGCCCACACACCUUCUCCUUAGGUGUCUCCGCUCGUCGUCAUGCGGCGGUCUGGACUGGGGCUUCUAUCACGGCCCUCACACCUUCUCUAAGGUGUCUUCGCCCGUUGUCAUGGGGCGGUCUGAUCUGGGCUCCUAUCAUGGCCCUCACACACCUUCCAUCUAAGGUGUCUUCACCUUUCAUAGGUGGCCGCAUCCUCCUUCAGCUGAGAUGCUUCAAAGUGGCUCCAAAAGUCUCUACCACCAUGUGCACUUAUGGGAGAGAUUACUGCCACUAAUUACAUAGAAAGAGAAAGUUGUGGUAUACUCCUCGCAAUCCUCCACCUCGAUUUCUAUGUUUGGAGCUUCUGUGCCUUUCUGCUUGACAGCUCCACCUACACCAACUCUCUUUGGUGUCUUCGCCUUUCAUCAUAGGCGGUUGCCUUGUAUUACAGGCAUUUGCACCCCCUCAAUUAGGUGCCUCUGCAACAGCUCUCUUUCCAUCCUUGCAUGCAUUGGAAAGGUCUUUGCCUUUUGUCUUCAUUAAGAGCACAAGAGACUUCAUGUUGUACAAACUUUAACAGUCUCUGCUCUGAGCUUCAUCUGGGAACACUUCUUCUCCUUGCACCUGUUGUCUCAUUACAGUACCUCGUUGGAUCUUACGGGUACUCAUGCACAAUCUCCGUGUGCCCUCGUGCAAUUUCUGUUCUCCAGAUUUUUCCCCUAUUCCUUGCUUAUGUUUGACAGCAGCUCAUCCUGUCAUAACACCUAUCCAAGUCAAAAUAGGGUGCCAAUCUUUAUCCCCUUGCUGUAUUCCUCUUCCAUUAUCAGGGUCUUCAUCAAUUCUCCCCUCGAGAAAUCACAGUCACCGAAUCUAACUUCUUUGGAGAAAUCACCACUUCAUCAGAUCCUUGAUCAUACAGAACCCAACUGUUCCCUUGUGCCGCCAUCCUGCUAGUCUUCAAUUGUUUCAUUACAAACUGCUAUAUAUACGAAAAUAGUACCGUAUGGAUAAUCCUUCCACUAAGCAAGUUCCCAGGAAAGAUUGGAGGGGUCACACUGGUCCCGCUUAUAACCCAAUCUCCUAGACAGAACUUCUUAGGCCAUAUCUAUCCAUCGUACUGUCUUUCCAUAUAUACAACCAUUUGCUAGCUUUGUUGCGGCUUUCCUUUACAAGUGAUCUGGAAUAUACUGGUUUAAUACAUCAUUUCUCAACAUCUGGCGAGACUACCAGUUCUUAGAUUCGUCAAGAUUGGUCUUCAUCAGUUUUCACUUUACACCUCUAAUUGUCCACUUGAUCGGGUGUCCAGAGUGUCCCAAUUUUGCCUUCCUUCAAGGCAGCUAAAAUUCUCUCCACUUAGCAGUUCAACACAUGUAAUUGGGUAAACAUGUGUGACAUGUUCUUCUUCAUCUCCAUCGACCACCAUGAUGACCAUCAGAUGCCUCCUGAUCGGGCAAUCUCUUUUGUUAAUUAACCACCGCCAUAUUUGGUCUCGAAUCUCAACGAUCGGACCGUACCAUUGCAUCCGGAACGAUCAAAUUAGCUGGAAACAAGUCUGAAAUCGUCCAAAUCGCACUUCAGACGCCUAAGAUUUGAUCAAAACAAUUCUGGCCUGAUGCGCGGUCCAGAUUUAAUCUCAGAUCCGGUUGCACGUAGACUCUGCUGCACAGAAUCAUUUCCCUCGGCUCGGCUCCAACACGGCUCGGCUCAACUCGGCUAGGCGCGGCUCAGCUCGCGGUUGGUGCCAUGGCAGGUGAGUCCCACUGUGCUGAUGUGUCUACUGACUUGACGUUGACAUGGCAUGCUGACUGUGCAUGCUGAUGUCACGCUUACAUCAGGCUGAUGUCAUCCCUGGCAUGCCUACUGUGCAUGCUGACAUCACAAUUAUGUCAUGCUGACGUCAUCCUUAUCCGGGUCAGCCAUGUGGGUCGGGUCAACUGGUAUUCGAGUUGGGUCAGCCCAUCCGGGCGAAGAAGACGCGUGUGGCGCGUCUGCGCGCGUGGGCAGACGCCCUGCCGGAGAGUGAUGGAGAGUGCGGCCAUGUCCGACGUCCGAUUUUGACGCCGUUUUCACCAGUGGCUUCGUCUUGGCCACCUCUACACAGUGGUAUGGUCAAAACAUAAUUUUGACAACUUUCAUUUUUGAGCAAAAAUCAAACACCCCUUUAAACCAUGUGCUCUGAUACCAAUUGUUGGGGAUUCCGUCUCCCCCAUGCGCGGACCGGGGGUGUACUGAUAGUUGCUCAUAGGAGGCUUAAGCACACUGACACAAUAUUUUACGUUGUUCGGCAAAACCGCCUACAUCCACGGGAGAGUCCAUAUUAUUAGAGAUAUAUAGAGAAAGGAUUACAACAUACAUGGAGGAGGAGGAUCACUUCACUCAAACUCAACUCCCAGCUCUUUUGCUGCACUUGCAGCCGCUGCAAUGGCAGCAAGGCUGCUGCCAUUGCAGCUCUCUCUUUCUCUCCACUCUCUUGCACACACUCACGUUCUCUCUCUCAUUUUGCUCUCUCACGUAUGCCUAUAAAUAGGCAAGUAUGGUGGCUUCUCUUCUUCAACAACAGCAGCUGCACAUGGGUUGAUACAUUUGUCAAUGGUGGGUGCAACUACCAUUGACAAAUGGUAACCCUACUCCUUAGGGUAGGUUGCCCAAUAAUGGCAAAUCCCAACAAGUUCUUUAUAGAGCUCUUCUAAAUCUUUUCAACGAAACUGAGAAUGAUAUGGGAAAGCAAGGAAGAUCCUAUGCCUCAUAUUAUGUGAAGGAGGCGGUAUGAAUAUUUUUCCAGUCUCAUGCUUUCUUUUACUAUUUCUAGCAUAAUAUAUUGUUAUUGUAUAUAUUUUAAGUGAAAUAUUGCAUAGGUUUUACCACACAAUCUUUGUUUUAUUUGUAUGCUAUUAGUUCAAAGAAUUGGUGAGAGGCUACCAUGCGGAGGCGGAGUGGGCAGAUAAAUGCCAUGUCCCAACAUUCGAUGAGUAUCGGGAAUGGAAGAAGUUGCAGGAGGGGAGGAGUAUAAAUGGCUAAAAAGUUGGCCUUCCUGUGUGUUUACAGGCUCUUUAUCUCCAACUUGGCGUGGCUUGGUAUCUGCAAUUUCAUUAAAUCACAGCAUAUCUGCUCCCCUCCAAUCCAAUGUCGGGUUCAAGGUGGGCGAUGGGAGAAACAUCAGGUUCUGGUCUGAUUCCUGGCUAGGCCACGCAACCCCUCUUCAGUUCAUGUUUCCUAGGCUUUAUAACCUCUCCCUGCAGUAAUCUUUAAGCAUUGCAGAAGUCCAUAACCAAAGUGAUAACUCAAUCAAUCUUUCUUGGAGAAGACCCCUUCGAUCCCGCGAGCUCUGUAUGCGGGAAAGCUUGAUAACAGAAGUGGAACGUGGUCUAGUCUUCUCUGAUGGUGAAGACAGCAAGAUUUGGAAAUCCCACAGCUCCAACGUUUACACAGUCUCCUCAGGAUGCCAUCUUCUUGAUGGUUUAAUUGUUUCAACAAACCUUCACUCCCCUGCUCUGCUUUGGAAAGGGUUUGCUCCUUCGAAAAUAGAUGUGUUCAUAUGGCUUCUCCUAAACGACAGUGUUUGCACAAAAGAUUUCUUAGCUAAGAGAAGAAUCAUCAAUUAUGAGGAAGCUCUUUGCCCUUUCUGCUGCAAGGAGAUUGAGACUAUACAUCAUCUCUUCCAUCUCUGUCCUACAUCUUGGUCUCUCUGGGGUAGACUCUUUAGUUGGUUUGGGUGUGUAGGCUGUCUGCCAAAAGACCCAAAUCAUAACCUUCAGGAAUGGUCCGGCCUGUUAAAAGGAAAUUUUUAACGUCAAGCAAUUACCCUUCUCUGUAAAGGAUUAUACUAGUCAAUUUGGAUAGCGCGCAACAAUAUGAUCUUCGACUCCAAAACUCCAAACUGGGAUGUGAUUUUUGACCUCACCUUUCAUCGGUUGGCCUUUUGGUUGAAGUCCUCUGUUAAAAAUUUCAGUUACACAGGUUCCGAUCUUUAUAGAAAUCCUGAAUGUAUCAUGAACUGGACUAACUAGUCGGGGUUGUAAAUUCCUCGCUCUCUUUAUGUUUUAAUUCCCCCCUGUAAUCUUUCUUAUUGCAGCCCUCAUCUUCUUAAUGGGGUCGCCUAUUUAUAAUAUACUCGAUUACUAUAUAAAAAAAAAAAAUUGGCUAAAAAGUAAUCCAAAAAUUAUUAAGGCUGGAAAGAUGAUCGGUCGUUUGAUGAAUGACAUUGUGGGCCACGAGGUACGAUGUCGGAAUUCUUAAGAAUAAAAAUUAUUAGAUACACCGAGAAUUGUAUUCUCAUAUCUUAUAUAAGCAAGGAACCAAUUUUGAAAAUCAUUUAAAAAUUUUAUCUUUUAAGUGAAAAAGUAUUAGUUCAACUUAUGAUAUACUUAAUAACUUUCUUUCUUCUCAAUAUUUUUGUGCUCAGAAAUUUUUCAUGUUAAGUUUAUUUUCUCAAAACUAUAACAUCGUUUAUAUGUUUGAAGGAUGAACAAAAGAGAGGAGACUGCGCAUCCGGUGUUGAAUGCUAUAUGAAACAAUAGGAUGCAUCGGAGAAGAAAGCAAUUGAAGAGAUACAAAAGAUGGACGUUAAUGCGUGGAAGGAUAUCAAUGAAGAUUGCAUGAGGCCAACUAAUGCUCCAAUGCUUCUCCUUCAACAUUUUGUUAAUCUUAUUCGAGUUACAGAUCGAUGUUAUUUAUGGGAAUGAUGACGAUGCCUGCACAAUUCCAUCAAGUUUAAAAGAUUAUGUCACUUUAUUAUAUAUUGAGCAAGUGCCUCUGUAUGAAUAAUGGUGUAGAAUUCGUACUUUGAGCUCAUGGUGGAACUCUCUAUGAAUGUUGUCGAAUGUAUUGUAAUAAAACGAGCAGUGACUCGUGGAUAUUAUAUGUGCUAUUGGAUCUAGUGUGUAUUUUGGUAUGUAUUGAAUUUGAUAGUUGAGUUUUAAUUUUAUUGAUAGUUGAUCUAUUCUUAAUUUAUAUAUUAUUCUUAUAUUUUUUAUAUAUAUAUUUUAUAUAGGAUCGGUGAUUCUAACAUUUCUCACUUGUAACCUAUCUUUUAAGGUUUAUCUAAUAGAUCAAGCUUUAAGAUCUUCACUAGAUUCCAAAUCGUUUACAGGUCCCUUAUUUUAUUAAAUUUGAUAACUAAGUUUUGAUUUGAUUUUAAAAAAUGGAUUAUUAUUAUUAUUAUUAUUAUUCAUCUCCUCCUUAGUUGCAAUAGUCAUUAUAUUCUUUUUGAAAAUGUCAUAAAAAAAUAUCUCCUUUUUACAAACAUCUCACUUUUACUUUUUAUAAGUAUAAAUUUGCCACUUCCAAAAAAAAACAUCAUUAAAGCAGCUGGACAUUAAAUUUGCUUUUUUUCUCAAAGCUUUUCUGUUUUUGAAUGUUUUUUUUUUCAUUGUGGAUAAUUUAUUCAUGCUUGCUUAUGCUUUGUCGACACCUCUUGAGGUUUUCUUGGGUGUAUAAUCUUAAUUAUAAUAUUUCAGUGUUUAGUUGCAUCUAAUGUUCUUUUUGAUGCCUUGAUCUUUGUUUGUUGUGUAUUUGCCACCUUUAUUCCAAUUAUUUUUUUAUGAUUCUUUUGAGCUGCAAUUUUUCAUGUUUCACGUUGUCUUGGUUUUUUUCCCUCGAAACAUUGUUUUGUCAUUCUUACAUUCCUUGCCAGAUUUAUUAUUUUAUGCAAGUCUUUGGUCUCCUUUGCUUUAUUCCAAUUAUUUUUUUAUGAUUCUUUUGAGCUGCAAUUUUUCAUGUUUCACGUUGUCUUGGGUUUUUUCCCUCGAAACAUUGUUUUGUCAUUCUUACAUUCCUUGCCAGAUUUAUUAUUUUAUGCAAGUCUUUGGUCUCCUUUGCAUUCAUGGAUCCAAACCAAUACGCUUUACAUUUUUUUUUACCUUUUUUCUUUUCUUUAGUCUCAAUAUUCAUCAUCAUCCUUGUUGUCGCACCCUCGCGGCGGAGCGGCGAUCCUCGAUUGAUUUCGGGUUGUUUGUUUUUGUGAAUAAGGGAGUCGCCACCUAGUGUUAUGGUUACUAGAAAAUCUAACUGGUCUUUCAGAGAUUCUAAGGCAAGGAACUGGUUGCGUAAAGUGAAGGUUUUAGUACCCCUACUACGCCCUAUCUAAGGUAAGCUACUUGGUAUUUGGUUUGCUUUAUAAUUGCUAUGGUAUUGGUGUUCUCGUAAUUAGUUUUCCUAGGAUAGGUUUGCUACGAUGAAUGGAUUUGGGUUCAAAGUCUAAAAGCAAGAACCUUUGACCAAUAUGGAUCAUACCUUUAGAUAUGUCUACAAAGUGCCAAGGAGAACCAAUGCAGAUCUCUUGAAAUAUGUGUUUGAUUCAAUCUAAAUUUAUUGAGAUAGAAAUCCAAGGAGAUUCCAUGUGCUUUAAAAGCUCAUUUUUCCUUUAGUAUUUCAAGAGUUUGAGACUCGUAAAUCGCAAGGAGGAGGGACAAAAAUUUAGAAAUCUCAGUAAAUCCAGGGGGGCUUUAAAAGCCUAUUUUUGCCUUAGUGUUUCAUACUCUCAUGGCUCGUAAACCGUUGAGUCAAAAAUUAAAAUGUCCUCAAUUAUAAUCAAGGUUCUUUUCAAGAAUUUGUGAUGACUUAUUAUUCCUAGAAACUUAUUUUGGAUAUUUACCAAUUAAGAUUUCUUUAUCCAAAUAUUAACAGUGAAUAAUAACAAGUUAUUCCCAAUAAUAUUUUGGAUAUUCAUCCCUUUAGGAUUUCUUUAUCCAAACAUUAACGGUGAAUACUAGAUGAAUUCCCCCUAAAAUAAUUUUUUGUAUUUUUUGUAAUAUUGGCCAAUACCCUUUGGAGUUUUACAAAUAUGUUGUAAAAUCUAGAAAUGCAAGAAAAUAAUUUUUUUGUUGUGUUUAAGAAAUCCAUACGAAAACACAUUUUUGAAAGUUCAAAUAUUUGUUUUUUUUUAAAAGAAAAAUAUAUUAAAAAACAUGUUAGGGUAUUGGCCGUAUGCAACACACAAAAAACAUUUUUUAUAUUUUUUUUGUCAAAAAACACAAGCAUCACUAUUCUCAAAGUUUGCAAGAAAAGGAACAGUCCAGAAAAAAAAAUCAAGGAUGGCCUUUCGAACCCAACCUGAUUACUGGCCCAAACCAGUAACCGGUUCUGCUACAGUUGCAUGCAUAUGCAUGCUACCGUGGCAGGGUAAUUAAUUUGGCAAAAACAAGGAAAGAAAGACUUACCUGCGAGGCAGCGGUUGGAGGCAAAGUGGGAGAUGACUGGUUGCUGCUCACGUCUUAUUUUCCCCUUGUAUGCUUAAUUUAUCCUCGAGGCUUAGAUGAGGCGUUGCCAUGCCAAAUCAUCCCAACUACGGCUAUGAUCAUGCCCAGAACCACAUGUAGAUUAAGACCAUCUUUUCCAAAGAAAAAGAAUCCCAUGAUCAGCACAAGGAUCGUCUUCAUAUGACCAAGUACUUGAAAGGACACAACUGUGAAUCCUUCAGCCUCCAAAAAUAACCCAAUCCACGUCACAAUGACCAGCCAGCAACACGCUCCUCGUAGUAGCUCAAGAAGAGUGAAACAGAGAGAUGGAAUUAUGGAGGAGAGGAGGGCGUUAUGACGUGUCAAAUGAGGUGCGUUUGAAGCAAUUUGCAGUUACUCUGUCUUUGCUUCGCUUUGCUUUGAAAGUUACGGUACUGUCUUUUUUUAGUUCAAAAGAGUCCUGAAGAUUCCGAGAGAGAGAGAGGGGACAGUGUGUGGCUGUUGUGGUUUGGAGGUUAGCUCUUGGUCUGUUUGGUUGGCAGCAGGGAAAAGAGAGUGUAGGGGAGCUCUGGUCGGCUGAAAGGAGAAGGAAGAGGGCUUCCUUGGGCGGCGGCUGUUUUUUUUUUCCCUGGAGGGUGGGCAGCCGGCUCCUGUGUCAAAAGGGAGAGGUUUAGGGUUUUUUGUGGUUUAGGGUUUUUUUUGUUGUUCUUUCAAAUUGUGCAAAACCCCAUGUAAAUUUUCUCCUCCUCGUGCAUAUGGCUUGAGGUUCACUUAUAUAGAAAAUCUCUACACGUGCUUGUUGUAACCUAUUUUUGGGUCCCCACAAAAAAAUAAAAUAAAAUAUAAAUAUAUAGCCGGAAGAAAUUAGAAAAAUAAUAGGAGGUUGGAGCGCUCAGAAAAGGAUCAGAAAAAUUGAUUAUGGAGGUUCAAAAAUACAAGGAUUGAAAUUUUUUACAGUAUAUACUUGAAUGAUGAGAGCCCUGUGGUAAAAGAAAAUUUAAUUUGAAGAGAAAAGUCCAAAAUUGGAUGUUUAUGGACUUAAUUGGAUUUUAUUGAAGGUUUAAUUGAAUUUAUAGAGGGUUUGAUUGCAAGAAAAAUUGAUUUUUAAGUCAAUUUGAGCUUUAAUUGGAAGAAAUUAAAGUUCUGGGGUCAAAUUAUAAUUUUUAACAGUUGAUUUGGUCAAAUCAGGGGCUUAAUUGCAUAAAUAUUGAAGUUUAAUGGCCAAUUAGGGACUUAAUUGAGGAAAUAUGAAACCAAGGACCAAAUUGGAAAAGGCGCAUAAAUAGAGGGGCUGUAAUUAACCCAAUCAGGGGCUAAAUUGAAGAAAUUAGAAGUUUAUUGGUCAAUUGAGGGUCAAAUUAGAGACCAAGGACUAAAGUUAAAAAGGCGGCCAACUAUAGGGGCGGCGAUUGAAGUUGGCAGGGAUACAAUUGCAUUAAUUCUUAAAAUCAAAAUUACAUUUGAGGACUUAAUAGAACAAAGGAUAAAUUGAGGGCUGCUUUGAAAAUUGACGUGUUUUGGCGCCUUGUUUGAUUUAAAUGAAACGACGUGUUUUGUCUAAAACGAUGCCGUUUCAUGUUAAAAAAAAAGAUCAGAAUGGUGUCGUUUUGAACGACACUGUUCCUCUUUCUUCUUCCCUUGGAUGUGCAGCAGGGGAAGAAAGAAAAGGUUUUGUUUUUUUCUUCUUUAAUUUUGCUGUGUCUCUCUCUUCCCGUGUGCUCUGCCAAGACUCGAAGCCCCACGCCAUUUGAUGAUGAGGAACCAGGGGAGCCGCGCCUUGCCAGCCGCGCCCACUGGCCAACCGACCGGCACUGCCCUGCUCCCCAUGCGCAACAAUAAUGAGCCCCGCUCCUUUGGCUCUAUAAAUAGAGGCUCAACGCCAACACACAGGCGGAGAGGAAAAUGAGAGAAAUAAAAACGAACCGAGGAGAGAGAACGAACCGAACAAAAGAGAACCAUUAGUAAACCCAAACUGAGAGGAAGGAAAAGCUUGAAACGGGUAGGAAACUUGAAAACAAACUGGGAGGACAAAGGGAAACCACUGAAAAACGAAAGAAGAGGAAAGGAAACGGAGGAGAAGGGAAGAGGAAGAAUCUCACUCUCCGCCGCUUGAAACAGAGCGCCGCUGCUUGGAGCCGCCGUCCGUGAGCCACGACACCGCCACCGCCCUCCACCGCAGCACAGCCAGCGAAGCAGACAGACCAGCAACGCACCGCCUCCUCCGCGCCAGGUAACUCUUCUUCCCCUUCAUUGUUUGCGUUUUGGUUGUUUUUUCUCCUACAUGCAGAAUGAAUAGCGUUCUGCAUGCAGGAGAAGGGGAGGGGGGAAAAUAAUUCCCCCCCGGCCAGUUAUGUUGCUGGGCCAGGCUGAUUCUGGCCCAGCGUUGUUGGUUUUUUUUUCUUCUCUGGGCCAGGUUGGUUCUGGCCCAGCUAUGUGUUUGUGGGCCACACUGAGUCUGGCCCAUCCAUGCUGUCUGGGUCGGGUCUGGCCCAGACGAAAAUAGGAGAUUGUGUUGGGUCGAGAUCGGCCCAAUCCUAUUUGGGCCGAGAUCGGCCCAACCCUUUUGAGGCUGAGUUCGGCCCAGUUAGUUGGGCCGGGCCGGCCCAGCCCACCUAAUAUUAUAUUAUAUAUUAUAAUGUAUUUACAUUAUUUAUAUAUUUAUAGAAAAAUAAAAUAAAAAAAAUUCUGAAAAAUCCUUAAAAAAAUUUGUUGAUUUUCCUGCAUAUUUUUAUCAAAAUCGUUUGAUACUGGUUUGUAUUUUUAUACCGUAAAGAUACAAAUCCAGUAUUAAAAUACCCAGUUUUUAUCGAGACAUCAAAAAUAUAAAAUAAAAAAAAAUGUUUUGUUUUCAUGCAUACGGCCUAGUCUCUCCAAAAUAAAGAAAAAAAAUCAUCACAUCAUAUUUUCAUACAACAAAAUUUUUUUCAAAAAAUAUAUGUCUUAGUAUGCACUUUGGUUGUAACAACAAGUUUGUUAGAGUUAUCGCACCCUCGCGGCGGAGCGCAGCGUCGCGGCGAUCCUUGAUUGAUUUCGGGGUCUUUUGUUUUAUUGUAAAGGAGUCGCCACCUAGUAUUAUGGUCACUAGGAAACCUAACUGGUCUUUCAGAGAUUCUAAGGCAAGGGACUGGUUGCGUAAAGGGAAGGUAUUAGCACCCCUAGUACGCCCUACCUAAGGUAAGCUGCUUGGUGUUUGGUUUGUCUUAUAAUUGAUAUGGUGUUGGUGUUUUCUAAUCCCAUCAGUUUUCCUAGAUUUGAUUCAAACUAAAUUUAAAAACAAAUAUUUGAAGUUUUGAAAAUGUGUUUUUGCAUGGAGUUCUUAAACACAACAAAAAAUUAUUUUCUUGCAUUUCUGGAUUUUACAACAUGUUUGUAAAACUCCAAAGGGUAUUGGCCAAUAUUUCAAAAAAUACAAAAAGAUUAUUUUGGAGGAAUUCAUCUAUUAUUCUCUGUUAAUGUUUGGAUAAAGAAAUCCCAAAAGGAUGAAUAUCCAAAAUAUUAUUGGGAAUAACUUGUUAUUAUUCACCGUUAAUGUUUGGAUAAAGAAAUCUCAAAGGGAUGAAUAUCCAAAAUAUUAUUGGAAAUAACUCGGUGUUAAUGUUUGGAUAAAGAAACACCAAGUGGUUAAUAUCCAAAAUAUGUUUUUAGGAAUAAUAAGUCAUCACACAUCCUUGAAAAAAACCUCGAUUAUAAUUGAGGACAUUUCAAUUUUUGACUCCAUGGUUUACGAGCCGUAAAAGUAUGAAACACUAAGGCAAAAGGAGGCUUUUAAAGUGCUCUGAAUUUCCUUAGAUUUCUAAAUUUUUGUCCCUCCUUCUUGCGAUUUACGAGUCGCAAACUUUUGAAAUACUAAGGGAAAAUGAGCUUUUAAAGCACAUGGAAUCUCCUUGGAUUUCUAUCUUAAUAAAUUUAGUCUGAAUCAAACACAAAUUUCAAGAGAUCUGCAUUGAUUCCCCUUGACACUGUGUAGACAUAUCUAAAGGUAUGAUCUGUAUUGGCCAAGGAUUCUUGCUUUUAGACUUUGAACCCAAAUCCAUUCAUUAUAGCAAACAUAUCAUAGGAAAACUAAUUAAGAGAACACCAACACCAUAGCAAUUAUAAAGCAAACCAAACACCAAGCAGCUUACCUUAGGUAAGGCGUACUAGGGGUGUUAAUACCUUUCCUUUACGCAACCAGACCCUUGCCUUAGAAUCUCUGAAAGAUCAGUCAGGUUUCCUAGUGACCAUAAUACUAGGUGGCGACUCCCUUAUUCACAAAACAAAAACAACUCAGAAAUCAAUCGAGGGCUGCCGCGAGGAUGUGACAUUUAGUAUCCACUGAAGUUUUAAAAAAUUUAGAAACUUGUGAUAUUUCUAAUUGUAGUAGAUGUAAAUGGACAAAAUUUUUCGCUUUACCUUUUAAUUGAAGUAUUUUUGUUUCUUCUUCUCUGUUUGAUUUAAUUCAUUUUGAUGUAUGAGGACAUUCUCUUGUUGCCAUAAAAGAAAGGUCUCGAUAUUAUGUUUCUUUUAUUGAUGAUCAUACUCGUUCUUGUUGGGUUUAUUUAAAGAAAUAUCGUUAUGAAUUAUUUGAGAUAUAUACAACUUUUCAAGCUCUUUUCAAAACUCAACAUUUUGUUGUUAUCAAAUGUUUUAGGUUGGUUUUGAAUGGGCAAUACACCUCUAAUAAAUUUUAUGAGUUGCUUGCCUUAAAUGGAACCAUUCACCAAACUUUGUGUACAGAUACUCUUCAGCAAAAUGACACCGCUGAAAGAAAACAUAGGCACAUUAUUGAAACUGUUCGUUCUCUCUUGUUGUCUUCUUUUGUUCCUCAUUGUUUUUUUUUUUGCAAUUUCAUCUCUCAUUGUUUAAUUUCAUUAAAUUUUCAUAUUAUAUUAUGUGUUUAUUUUUUACCAUUCUUUUAAAACUCGGUAGGGGAGUAACUGCCAUCAUGUCUCGGGUUACGAAUUUGGUCGAAUAACCAAGGAUACUAUGGUCAAUUAGAUUUUUUAUUGUGCAUAAAGUAAAAAUGAUUUUGAUAAAAAAAAUAAUAGCAAAAAAAAAAAAUCAAUGACCAUUGAUAUAAUUUUCUCCUAACUAAUUACUUGAUUUUUUCUCAGCUAAAAAUUAAAAAUAAUAUUAUUUUGAUAAAAAAAUAAAACAAAUCAAUUAUUAUAAUUUUUUAAUUAUAAAACAAAAAUAAUUUCAGAAAAAAUCAAAGAAAAAAACAAAAUCAUUUCUUAUGUUGUAAAAAUGAAGUUGUCAAUUCUACAUUAAAAUCGUGAAAAAUGACUUGUCAAUUUAAGUUGUCAAUUCUACAUUAAAAUCAUGAAAGUGACCUAAAGGGUUCAUAUUGGCUUAGUAAUGCUUUAGUCUUCUGACACUUUUUCUAUAUAAUGCUUGUAAUUUAAUGAGUCAUUAAAUUAUAAUUUUAAAAAUUACAUAGAAAAAAUUAGAAAUAUAAUGGAUCAUCACGUACAUUCCAUUAUAUCUGAUAAUUAACAUCCCGUUAUAUUUUUAUAUUAUAUUUAAUUGCUAUACGGACAUCAUGAAGUUUUAACUUCCGUACCAUUUUAUUGAUAAUGAACAUGUAAAAAAAAAAACCUACAAAAAAACCCAUUAUAAUUUUCUAUUUGUUUUUAUGUUUUUAAAAUUUUUAUUUUUUUAACUUUAAAUUAAUAUAUUUUUGAUGUUUUUAAAUUAUUUUGAUGUGCUGAUAAUAAAAAAAUAUAUCAUUUUGAUAUUUUUCUAAAUAAAAAACAAUCUAAAAAAACAAUCAUAACAACACUUACCAACAGGCUCUAAACAAUUGAUAUCAACUGGUAAUGGUUUGGUCAGUCUGAUACCUUCAGUAAUUAGAUCUCUGCACAAUUACUCUUAACCAUGUAAUGGUUUAUUACAUAUAUUUUCCCCCCUGAUAUAAUGCUUGUAAUAUAAUGAGUCAUUACAUUACAAUCUUUCAUUAUAGUUUUAUUUUUUAGAAAUUACACAAAAAAACACAUGGAACUAUAAUGGACCAUUCCAUUAAAUCUCUUAAAACAUACCGUUAGAUUUUUUUAUUUUAUUUAAUUAUUUUAUAGAUAUCAUGGGUCUGCUCUACUUUAUUUUCUUUGGUGUCUGCAAUACGCAUGUUUAAUUAGGAACAAGAAGUAAAUCGGUUCAAUUCGUUUAUGUGAUAAAGUUUUAACUCGUGGUCCAUCUUAUUGAUACCGACCAUAUCAACAAAAAUGUCAGAGAAAAGAAAAUUCAUUAUUUGGUAAUUCAAUUUUUAUUUUACUGAAGGAAAACAACUUUGUCGGAUAACUUUUAUUUACUCUAGAAGUUAAGUUUUACUAUAUAUACCAUCUUGAAUCAAAUCAAGCUACACUUUUUUUUUUCCUUUUAAUUUUAUGGAUGUCCGAAAGAAAUAUAACACUCUCAAUGAAUAUUUCAAUGAGUACCGCAAUUAACUCAAUGAAUAUUUCGUCACCGUGUGGUUGAUACAGGGUCGAUCUUAUAUAUACAUAGUCAUUGGAGUUUGUUUUAGAGUAAAUAAGACUUUCUAGGCUAAAACUUAGCUAUUUCUAUAUUGUACAGUUGUGAGAAUAAAUCCCAUGAUAAGGAUAGGAGAUUCGGCACAAUUCAAGGCUGGUUAUGCUCUACAGAAUUAAAGGCUAGAUAUACUGUGUCUUUGCUGGAUUUGAAUUGUCAUGGCACUAGUGGUAUCGAGGACGGCUUCUGUCCUUUGAGAGGUGUUAAAAAGAUAUGUUUGGGUAUAAUUAUAAAAUUAAAAUCAUAAUCGUCAUUUAGUAUUAAAUUUAUUAGAAAAUCUAUGAUUUGCAAGAGUCUAGAUAAGAAACUUGUUGUGCAAGUAAAAAUCACAUUACUUCUAGUACACCAUAUCUGAGAUAAACUAUAUUAUUGUUUGAUUGUUUUUUAAGUCAAGUUCCUAUUCAUUAGUCUCAUCAAAGGUUUAAAGUAGAUUUUUUCUCGUGAGGAAGUCUCUAUCUUAUUGGGUUAAAGCUUAACAAUUCUAAGGCUCGAAUUUUAACAUCGCAUUCAUUUUCUAAAUAUAACUAAUUCCUAACGUUAUGAACAAAAUAAUUGCUAUGAGUUUUUUGUAUUUUAACCAAACUCUAAUGGAUAAUUAUAAAUUAGUUAUGAUGUAUAAAAAAAAAAAAAGGAAAAAAUCAUGGAAGGGCAGUACUAUACUACUAUUAGAGAUACUUUCUCACGUUUCAAUACUGAAAAGGAAGAGAAAAGGCUUUUUUUAUAUUCAAGGGAAAAACCAGCAUCUAUAUAUGCUCUCAAAAUUUUGAAAAUGUAACCCCUAAAUAAAUAUUAAGAAUUAAAACAGGUUGGUAAGUAAAAUUUGCUUAAAUUAAACACUGAAACAAUUAAUUAAUUCAAAGGACUGAAGAUCCAUAGAAAUAUUCACUCCAAAUUAUAAUGUUUCUGUACCAAGACAAGGUCUCUGCAAUAUCUUCCUGGGUAGCAGAAAUUAAUUUCAUGAUGAUUAGUAGUCAAAGUUAUGCACUGUUUGAGAAUAAUAUAAAUCAUAUCUUGGGAGUCUCACCUAAUAGUUUAAGACAUUGAGUUGAGAUGGUCAUUUGACAUAGUAUCGGAGCUUUGAUGACCAAGUGAUCGUGAGUUUGAAUCUCAUCAUCUCCAUUUAUUUGAUAAAAAAUUAAGCACAAAAUAAUGUUAGCUUAUGCAAAUUUCAAACUCAAAGAGCUUUCACUUGAGGGUGUGUGUUAAAAAAUAAUAUAAAUCAUAUCUUAGGACCUUACCUAAUAGUUUAAACUAUUGGGUUGAGAUGAUUUUUUGACAUGAUAUCAGAGCUUUGAUGACCAAGCGAUCAUGAGUUCGAAUCUCACCAUCCCCAUUUAUUUGAUAAAAAAAAUUAAGUACAAGGUAAUGUGGGUCUGUGCAAGUUUCAAGUCCAAAUGACUUUCACUUGAGGGAAUGUGUUAAAGAAUAAUAUGAAUCAUAUCUUAAAACUUCACCUAAUAGCUUAAAUUAUUAAGUUGAGAUCGUCUUUGACAAACAUAAAGUUGCAUUUCAAAGCGUCGAGCUCACAAAGACUUGUGUUCAGAGGCAAAGAAGAAGAAGAAGAUGGACUGACCCAAAAGGCAGUAGUCAAGCCAGCGAUCACUGAAGAAAGAUGAAUAACACAACCACCAGAAUAGUCCAUGACACCCCCCAGUGAAACAAGAAUCCACCACCCCAUAAGCUGAAGGCACCAACAGUGUAAGAGAAAGUGAGCCAAAGUGGCACAAAAGCCAUCCAAGCCUUAAAUUCAUUCUUCCAAGCACUGAUCCAGCCAAAAGAAUAAGAGUGAUUGCAGCAAACACCCACUGAAACCAAACCAUGGAAGCCAUGGGAUAUAAUGGUGUAGCCAUUGCAGUCUCCACACCACCGUUAUCGUAGAACUGUGUGGUCUCAGGGAGUGCAGCUUGUUUGAUUAGAAACUUCUGGCCUAAGGCAAAAGGGCAAGAGCUUAUCCCCCAAAGACAUUUUGUAGGCCCAAACCACCCAGCAGAUUACAACAGCUGCAAAAGCGUAAAAGGCCAUGAAAGCUGAAUUGACUGCCCAUUUUUUCUUGACAAUGCUUCCAUAGAGAAUUACAAGUCCUGGCACACUCUGGAGUUAACAAGGGUGGCUGAGAUCAUUUGCCAUGCGUUAUCGCCCUUGUUUAACCAGUCAGGAACUUAAGGUGAGCCUCCUUGGUAUGCCACUGGGACUGGGUCAGGUUGAGGAGCAGCCAUGGUAUUUUAGAGGAUUGUGACUAGCUACAGCUCCUUCUAUUGGCCUAGCUCUGUUUUUUUUUUCUACAAUAUGCAAGACCUUUCUGUAGAAGGAAAUGGACGCAAGGGCUUUUGAAAUUUCUAAUGGAAAGUCUUACAGGAAAAAUAUUGCAUCAAAUAUUGUGAUUAAUAAUUUUUUUUAAAAGCUUACAUGAAGAGCGCUAUCAUUGAUGCAUUUCUUGCCUCUCUCCUGACAAAACACUAGGAACAAAUGUAGAAGCCACCAUUAUCAAUUUUGCUGCAACCCACUCAUUAAUUGGCAACAUUACCGGUAUUGAUAGACGCAAUGAUGUUUGAGGGAACGGUAAUAAUUUUUUUUUUUAAAAAAAAAAAAAAAAUUAUUUUUGAUAUCAUAACACAAAAAUAAUUCAAAAACAUAAAAAAAAAACAUUUUAAUUUGAAGUAAAACAGUAAAAAAAUUUAAAUUUUUUUUUAAUUUUUUUAAAAUACAAAAACAAAUAAGUUUCAUAUGAGAUGCAUGAAAAUGUACUAACGGUUGCAUUUUUUUGUUUGGAAAUAAUUUAAAAUAAUAUAUUUUUAUUUUUUUAAAAUUAUUUUUAAUAUCAGGAAAUUAAAAUGAUCUGAAAAUACUAAAAAUAAUUAAUUUAAAAUAAAAAAAUAUUAAUUUUUAAGAUUAUAAAUUACUUUUUAGUAAAAUAUUAGUGUUUUAUUAACCAAAUAAUAACGAAUUUAAAUUUUAUUAUUCAAUUCUAUUUGAUAAUAUCCUUAAUUUUAUCUAACAUUUUAAGUUUUAUUUGAUAAUAUCCUUAGUUUUAUCUAACAUUAUAAGUUUUUGAAUUUAAAAUUUGAUCAUAAAAUUGUAAAAGCAUUAGCAUUUAAUUUCUCAAAAAAAUUAGGAUAUACUUUUAAAAAUCUCUUGGGUAAAUUAUUAGUUUAUCUAAUAAUUUAUCACGGGAGAGAGAGACAUACUCAAAAUUGAUCAUGCUAAGUGAUUUGGGUUAUGACAAUUAAUCAAUCAAAAAGGAUAAAAUAGAAUGGUUGAAAACUAAUUAUUUGAUAAUUGAAUUUUUAUUUUAAUAAAGGAAAACAAUAAUGAUUGAUUUUUUAUUUUAAUAUUUAGAAUGAUCUACCAUUAUUAUUAUUAUUGAAAAAAAAUAUAAACUUGAUUUGAAGGAUAAAAUUAAAGACCAUAAAAACUUUGACAAAAGAAAAAAAAUUAAAAAACCAAAAGAAAAGGAACCAAAUCAAAAUUAGUAUUAUUCCUAUUGGAAAAACAAAAAUAAAAAACUUGAUAUUAAAAAUAAAAUUGAAAGCCAUGAUAACUUUGAUAAAAGAGCAAAGGAAAAAAAAAUCAAGAGUUGGAGGACCAGAUUGAAAAUAUUAUAUAUACAAAUUAGAAUUGAAGGAUUAAAUUGAAAAUAAAUAAAACUUUAACACAAGAAAAAAUGAAAACUCAAAGGACUGAAUUAGAAAUACAAAAAAAAGAACAAGAGUUAAUUUUCUGAGGUAGAAGAGAGAAAUGAAGGGAGAAAAGAAAGAAAAAAAGAGUUAUUGGUUACAAACUGACUACCUUUAGCAGACACAUGCCACCAAUAAAGAAAAAAGAGCAUGAAUUGGAAACACAAAAAAAGGUCAAGAGUUAAUUUUCUGAUGUAGAGGAGAGAAAUGAAGGGAAAAAAGAAGAAGAAAGGGCCACCGAUUAUAAACUGACCAUUUUUAGCAGACAUGUGCCACCAAUAAAGAAAAAAGGGCAUGGAGGAGAGCCAAAUGAGGCGGUGAAAGCUCAUUUUCCACCACUAGAAGAUGCCACACGUGCCGUUCAAAAUACGUUAUGUCUCCCACACCCUAAUAUCUCUUUACAUUUAAAAAUUAUAAAUUAAAUAGUAAAUUAUAUUACUACCCUCUACCAAACCAACAAUUAAAAAAACAAGAGAAAAAGAUGCCAACACUCCUCUUUUAAUUACUUAAAUUUUUUUGUCCCUAAGGUUAUAUAUAUAAUCUUACUGUAUGCUUAAAAAGAAAACGACACCAAUACCCCUACCCCGUAAUUUUAGUCCUUUUUUUUUUUAAUCCUAAGAGUAUUUAGGUUCUUUAAUUGUUCAUAAAUAUAUUGAAUAGACAAAAUACCCUCAAAAAAAUUUAUAAUGUCUAAUGAACCGUAUGCAAAGAUAAAAAUGCCCAUUGUUUAAAGCCAAACAAAUUUUAUUGUGAAUGAUAAAAAGGUCACCGCACUGUGGUGGCGAAUAAGAAAAUGUGAGGGAGGCUAUAGUAAAUCCUUCUUUUGUUUUAGUUUUUUAUUUAUUUAUUUAUAUAGAGUAUAAGGUAGUAUCUAAACUUUAAUUACAUAUUGAUAUCUAAGCUAGAAUUAAGCUAUAGUUGAAUAAUCUUAUAAAUAAAAAAAGAACAUUUGAGCCUUAAUGACAUUUGCUAUUAUUUCAGGGCUAAAUAAAAUAGUUUCAGUUGCCUUUCGUUGUCCUAGUGUCAUCGUGACUGGUUGAUGAAUUUUUCCCAUAUCAUUAUCUCCAUACAGACACUCCUGAGCAUCACAGAUUACUGAGAGUCUUUCAUGCCAUUGAAAAUAGUUGUUUCACCAUGAAAAGUGACUUCAUUUGAAUAACAUCCGCUCUAAUUUUGUCUAGUUGAUCAUCUAGCCUAUUUAAGAAGGUAUAAUUUAUAUUCUCUUACUAAAUUGAGUUGAAUUUUUGAUAUCAUGAUCACCAACCAUAGGACUAGAUCUUCUAAAAUCAAUCUCUCUCCACAAUAUUAUUGAACUAUUAUAGUAUGCCUCUCAGAUCCUACAAUCUUGUUUUAAUUAGGUCAUUUAUUUUUUCAUUUCAUAUAGUUGAGAGAUAUUUGUUCUAUUAAAAUAUGUUAUUGUCAUUGUAUUCUAUACUGAUUUUGCCAUGAAAACCAAUUGAAAUUUUCAAUCAAAAUUGGUUCCAUUAAAUUGAUUAGCUAGCCUUUGAUAUCAUAGUUUUAACUCCUCCACUUUCUGUUAUUAGGGUCUAUUCAUUCUAUUUGAAAAAGUUCCAAUUGAUAUAUCCUCGUUUGUCUAUGUCAAAGAUAUACAUCUCAACAAUCUAGGCCUAUAUGGCGUAAUUAAUACCACUCCAGACAACAAAAUAUUCACCAGUUUGGUGUAAAAUUUAGGUAAUCAAAAUAGUCAAGUCUUAUAUGGUUUCUUGUGGGUUAGUGAGUUCUAUUGGUAGGAAUGAAGAAGAAAACAAAACUGUCCACAUAAAGUGAUUAUAGGGUUUUUGCCGAGUAUAUGUUCUCUAAUUUAAUAUCAUAUUAAGAAUACUUGUAAAGAAUUAUAUUUUUCUUUGACACAUAGAACAAAUUUAUAUAAAGAACAAUGUAAUAUCUAGAUCUUAAUUAUAUAUUGAUAUCUAGGAUAUAAUCAAGUUAUAGUUGACUAAUCUUCUAAAUAAAGAAGAAAUAUAUAGUCCUUUAUUACAUAUUGAUAUUUAAGCUAGAAUGAAAAUACAUGUUUCUCCAACUUAGUCUAAUAAGACAUAUAGAUCAAUCUUAUGAAUUUUUUUUUUAUAUCAAACUAGUCCUUUAUUUUGAUGAGAUUAUAAAGGAUUAAUAAGUAAGGAUUUCACCCUAUCCUUAGUCUCAAGAUGUUCAACACCAUGUCCAUCUCCAUAUUGAUACAUGCAUUGCGCCAUUCGUUAAAGGUUUAUUGCAAUUCCAAUGAAAGUUUGAGAGAUACGGGGAUUAGCAAAUUGAUAAUCAUUUGUUUUUUUCCAUGUAUUUCCAAUUAAAUUUCUUAUAUGAUCACGAGCUUUUUCUACAGACACUCCGGCUUCAUGCAUAUAACAUUGAAUUGAUUUGGAAAUAUCUCCUCGUUUUAAUUCAUCCUAUAAAUAAAAAGAAAUAGAAAAUUAGCAUAUAUAUACACUUAAAAAAAAACCAUCACAAAUAACAAUAUUUACCAAAUUAAAAUGAAAGAUUGAUAUAUUUACAAACUAAGAUAAAUUAAUUGAUCUAGAAGUUCACUAAAAAAAUACACCAUCCAUCUUUAGUGUCAAUGGAUUUUAAGAUGGAAGAGGAGAUACCAUGUUGGAGAUCGGGCCUUUACCAACAAGUUAAAAGCAGUUUCUUGGGCCGAAGAAUAAGUAAAAAGUGACCCAUUUAUAGUUAAAGUAAUGCAUUAUAUGUUUCAAAAUUCAUUCCAUUACUUGGGCCAGUUAGAGGCCUAUGCCUAGAGAAAGAGGAUCUGUGGACUAAUAUAAUUUACCAUAAAAAUGAGAAAAAAAAGGGAAGGACGAAACUAUGUCAAGGAGAGGGAGAAGUCUAGCAUACCGUGGAGGUUCCAAGAUCAUCAGCAAGGCGAAAAAUCAUGGAUGACCAUCGAAUUAUAUCUGGGUAUUCGUCCAUGAAUUGUGAGGCCUCCUCUGUUGUUGGAUUGGAAACAUAAAAAUAUGCAUGAACUAGAAUCACUGGUCCUGAAAUUGAAAUCCAUGCAUUGUCCAUGUAUUCUUGAAGAGUUGGUGUAUAUCCACUGAAGUACCACUUAGCCUCCAAUAAAUAUGAUUUACAUAAGUCUGCCCACUGAAAAUUAACCAUAGUCUUAUAUUCCCAAAAGAAAAAAGAGGCAAAAAUGGAGAGAGCAUAUUUAAAAAAUAACUAUAGUUAUCAAAUCUAGCUCGAUUCAAUGAGUUGAUCUAGUGAUUUAAAAUCUAACUUGAGUUGAGAGUUUUUUUAAUUGGUUUUAUCAAACCUAACCUAGCCUAACUCGUUGACCUAGUGAUCCGAAAUCUAAUUAGAGUUAGAUUUUAUUGUAAAAUGGUUUUUACAUUGACCUAACAAACUCAGGCAACACGACGUUUGAUUUAUGAACUUAAUUGACUUGAUUACAUUAAAUUCAAACCUAGUCUCGUUAAAACCAAUGAAUUAUUUUCGAAGAAAUUAAAAAAAAAUGAUAAAUCAAGAUUUAUCCAAUGGCCAAAUAACUAAAACUUUAAACCAAGAUUGACAACUAUGAAAAUAACACUAAAAUUAAAAAAAGAAGAAGCAAAUACCGCUUUUUUCAAGUAAGGAAGGAUGUCAACUCCUUGAUAUUUAAGAAUAUCAUAAGCCAUUUCGAUUGUAAAAUGCGAGAAAACAUAAUUUCAUAUAGUUGGAAGUCGAUUCAUGAAAUUUAGAUCCCAUCUGAAAUGAGAACAUAAAAAUAUUUUAGUUAAGGUUUUUUUUUUUAAAAAAAAAAAACAAGUGAGCAAACUCUAAUAUAUAGCAUUAUAAAUGUGCCCGAGAGGCUACACAAACCUUACAACGGCAUCUGUGAAUAGCUCAAGCUCAUCUAAGGUACCAUAGACAUCAUAAACAUCAUCAAUUGUUGUUAUAAGUGAAUUAACUUUUGUUAGCAUUCUCCUGCAAUUACCAAACUGAGGUUCAAAUAUGACCCCCACAGUCCAUAAGAAAUUCUCCACCAGCCUGUCCCUGGCAAAAUCCAACUUUUCUCCAAGUCCUGUCCUCUUCCACCACCUUUUCAUGUUAAGAAAUUCAACUUGUCUCCAAGUCCUGUCCUCUUCCACCACCUUUUCAUGUUAAGAAAUUAAACUGUCACCAUCAGAGAAAAGCUACAUAACGUAAACUAGUGAUAUAGGAGGAUCAUCAAAUCUAAAAAAGUUUAAAUUAUUACAUACAAUUUAAUGAAAUAAUAUUAAUUUUUAUAUGCUGUUUAAUUUUCUUCCAAAUUGUACAAAAUAAAUAAAUAAAGAAUCUUAUUAAUUCUACGUACCUAGAUGAAUGUUUCAGAUCUUCUUGGUGUAUUGCUUGUACCAUGUUGAAAUCCAAUUUAGCUAGUUCUAACAACACAGGUUCCAUAUCAGUUUUAGUUUCAUACACAUUGAUGAACCAAUUGGACUCCAAUCUUAGCAUCCUCCAAGCCAGUGGAAGCUCUAAGGCAUGGCUCACCAUCUUUGAAAGAUAUUCGGAAGGGUUGCACUUCUUGACAUAUUUUUCAAGAUUUUUGGUGGUGAAGUCUCUUGCAUCCUCCAAGAUUCUCUCGCCUUCUACCAAGAAGUAUGAAGCUUCAUACAGGAAUAGCAUUCCCUUCAAAUCGUCAUGAAUCCAUGCCCUAAAGUUUCCUUGUUCGUCCUUGAAAUGAUUGAAAACCUCUUCAAGUGGAGAACACAAUUAGUCAUGAGAACGCAUAGAACCAUCAAUAUCUACAUUGCUUAAGAGACUUACCUUGAGGUACCUUGUAUCCAUGCUGCCUUAGGAGUCGAAAUUCUAGAGCAGUAGCAUACAAGUCAUGUACUGUCUUUGUAUUCUCUAUAUGAUUUUUAUAGAAUAAACUCUUCAACGUGCUCUUUAUUUCAUCAAUAAAAUGGUAAGAUAACCCAAGUCUUUGCAAGGCAUCGAUUAGCUCAAGUUGAUCCAAGGGUUUCGAUGCGUUCGCCAGCAUCAUCCUUAUGUUUGCCUUCAACUUUUCGCUUCGCGCUGUAUAUGGCUCUCCCUAAACAACAUCAAAUUCAAGAACUCAACUCAAGUUGUUUGAACAAUAACAUAACAUGACAUUAUAAUAGCUAGCAACUAUACCUUAUAUUUACUAGUCAGUGACUGAACAAAAUCAUACUCGCAUAUGGAAGUUUGAUAAUUUGCCGACCGCCGGACAAUUUGACCAGCAGCUUCGGUGGCAACCAUGCAUCGAACUUUGGUAGGUAGAGAGCGAUAAUUCUUGCUUGAUACAGGUCCUGCUAAGGCGCGACUUGGAGAUGCUAAUGUUGGGAGAGUACAAAAUGAUGAAGCAAAGUGGGUAAGAGCCAUUCCUCAGUGUUUUGGAUUACUUGGAAUUUUUGAGUUGAGGAUGGAAAUGACGAUUACAUGCCGAUAUUUAUAGAUGGAUCAUCUAGCCGUACCAAACGUCGACGUCAAAGGUUCCAUGUUUAAAUUAUUACAGCACUGUCAGCCGAAAAAUCUACAUCGACUUUUGCAAAUCUACCUUAAGACAAUACUUGAAGAUGAACUCAUACUAAGAUAAACUUCAAUCAAAUCAAAUCAACCAAUGAUAAUAAUUCAAUAUCAUUGUUUGAAUCGAAAUAUCAAUUAAAUUCCACCAAUUUCUAACAACAAAUUUCUAUUCAUCUAAAUAUAACAAAAAAACAUUUCUUAUAAGAUUUCUUUUUUAGUUUAUUAAUAUGACAUUUAAUUUAGGUAAUGAUUUUAUAGAGUAAAAAUUUUUAAAAUUUUUUUAAUCAAAUUUGAACGGAUUUUCUUAUAUAUAGUACCUAUAUUUAAAAUUUUAUCCCGCUUAAAAAAACCUGCAAAGAACUACAAUAAUUAAACUCAACAAAAUUCUUAUAUUUUAUAAUCAAACUCAACAAAAUUCUUAUAUUUUAUAAUCAUAAGUAGCUCAAGAAAUGCAAAUUAAAACACACACACACACACACACAUAUAUAUAUAUAUGUUUGUUAUGUAUAAUAUAUCUACACUAUUUUUAUUUUGCAUUUUUGUUUUAACUAGUUUUAAAAAUGGUGGUAUAUGGUGACAUUGUGUUGUUAUGAUGAACAUGAGAGAUAAGAUCAUAUAUAUUUUUUUCUUAUAUAUUGUGCUAUCAUUUGUAUUGCAUUUACACAUGUUUAAAAUGAUAAUCUUAUUUUGUUAUACUUUUAUUUGCCAAAACCAAACAAUGAAUUCCAACAAACUUGUCCUUAAUUAAUUUGUUGGAACUCUAAAAGUCUAGCCAUCAUGAAUCAAACCUAUCACUCUAUAUAUUUGUUAUUACAAGAACCUAAAAUACAUGGGAAAACCAUUGUACACAUGCCUAAAAUCACAAUGGAUUAUAAUGUUUCUUCCAUUGACAUAAAAAUCAACAGAAUUUGUAUUGAGAGGUAAAAUAGAUUUCUCAUGAGGUUUAUUUGUGAUUCUAUAUUUGUUGAGUGGCAGCUCUAUCUUUUCGCACUAUUUUUUGUAUAGUAAAAUUACUUGAAUAUCUUUAAAAGCAAGAAAAACACUUGCCUAAGAACAUUUUCAGUUUUUUAUUUUUUUAAGCAUGGUGUAAAGAUCUAAUUUCCCUUGUAAUAAAUUUUUUUUAAGAAAUGGCUUCAUAGGCUUUUUCAUCAUUUUAUAAAGGUUUUUUCAUAGUAAUUAUUUCGUGCUAGGAGUAAUGUGGUAAUUUGAUAAAUAAAUUUUUUAAAAAUAGAUAAAGCUAUUGCCUCUCCUUAGCCUUUAAAUAGCGUAUGCGACUGACUCUAAUGGUUAAAAAUUAUUGUCCAAUGUGUUAUUGGAUUCCCUGCAACAUCCUCCUUUUCAAGCGACAAUGCAUGUAUAUUGUUUUUAAACGGGUUAUUGCAGAUAAUAUUUUUAUUUUUUUCCUUUUCUCUCUCAUCCAUUAAGACUUGCAUUGACCAUUUAAUAUUUUAGGGUAGCUCCCUUAGCUUUGCAUAUUUGAGUGUCGGUCCUCAUUUUUUUAAUUUGUAUUUUUUGUCUUUGGCCUUUUAUAGGUUUUCAAUUCUUUUUCAAUUUCAUCCUUCAUUCUAGAUUUAUUAUUUUUUACUUAUUUAAUUUUGGUCCAUAGUAUUUUUAUUUUUUUUAAUUUUUUAUGCCUUUUUUGUGAGCUUUCAAUUGUUUUUAAUUUCAUCCUUUGAUAAAAAAAUUUAUUUUUUAUUUUUAUUUAAUUUAGUCCUAAUUCUUUUGGUGAUUUCUUCUUUUAAUUAUUUUGUGAAUUUAUUUUUCUUUUCAAUCUAACCCUUUAUCCCAAAUUAUCCAUACUCUCAUUUGUUAUUUUUAAAGCAUUUUUUUUUGUAUCCUUGUUCCCAUAAUUAUGUUUCUUUUGAUUAUUUGUAUAUUUUUUAAUUUAUUAUUUAGCAUUAAUUUAUUAAAAAUUAGGCUUCAUGGUUUUUUCAUGUUUGGUACUUCUGAUUAAAUAGCAUGGGUCACAAGUUUUAUAAGCUAACACAGGUUGAUAUCAUUUCCUAAACUUAUUUUCUUUUCGAUCUCAUUACUAAAUAUUGAUCUUUUUAUACAUAAAAUAGGUUUUGUGGUUAGUGGUUUUGUUAGGUUAAAUUGUUUUUCACUUAAAAAAAUGUUAAAUUAAUACUUUUAGAUGUUUUUUUUUAUGAUUUUAAUAUAUUAAUGUGAAAUUAAAAAGAAUCUAAAAAUACUAUAAUAUAUUUUUUAAUUAAAAAAUACUUCUAAAAAAAACCUUACAUCAAAUUACAAAAGAUGAUAUAAAUGUGAGCCAAAUAAUUUAAGAAACGUUAAGCUUAAGUUAAAGUUGGAUCAAUUAGCUACCUAAUAUCACAAGUGGCCCCCUCAUAGUCUUCGAUCAAUUUGAUACCUAACAACACUCUGUUUCCCAUUCCAAGAUUUUCCCAUAUCAAAGUAAUUGUAGGAAAGGACAAUGUCUUUUUCCAUCACAAAUUGAUUGCACGGUUAUUAGCAAUUGAUUAAAUUAGUCCCUCCUUUUUUAUGAAAUUGUAGGAAAGGACAAGCUUGAUAAUCAAGGUUAUCACUUUAAGCAAGGUUACCUCUAAAACUCUAUUUUCUAUAGCAAAAACAUUUUUUAAUUAACUUAAAAGCUAAAAAUUAAAACAAAUUAAAAAAAAUCCGGCAUUAAGCUACUUUAUCAAAUAAGAAUCUAGAGACACCAAAAUUAAAGUUGUUGGUAGCUAGAAUCCGGCAACACAAUAGCUUUUUUUUUUAAUUUUUUUAGCGACCUCUCUUGCUUCUCUCUUAAUUUCUAAUAACUAAAACAUUAUAAAAAUUGAGUUUAGAACAAUAAUAUAAUGAACUAAAAUAACAAGAACUAGUUAUUAAAAAAAUUAAAUUUUAGAAACCAAACUAUAGUUAUGUGCGCCUUUAAUGGAAGAAGGCUCUAUUUCUUCAAUUAUGUCAAUUUUGGUCUUUCAUAUCUCAAUUUUUUUUUAACAAUGAACUAAAACUCUAUCUCAUAAAAUUAUUUGUUAAUUUAAUGUCAAAUAUUUUAAUAUAUAAGGUAACCAAGAGAAAACAAAUAAAAAAGAAGUAAAUUAUAAAACCAUAAAUGAUAGAACUUGAAAGGACUAAUUGAAAAAGAAAAAAAGUUCAGCAACCAAAUUAUAAAACAAUAAAAAUUUCAAGGACUUACUAAAGGAGAAAUAAACUUUUGUGAGAGGAUGAACAUUGGAAUGUAUAGUUAACACCCACCUUUUUUUAGUUGCUUUAUAUAAUGGAAUAUAUAGUAAAGAAAUAAACCUUUCUCUUUCUAAAUUCUAAGGCACUGUUAUAGAUGCUAACUUCAGAUCUUCUACUGAUUUUUUCAAUGAUUUAGCAGUGUACGAGAGUGUCGGCUAAGGAAUUCAGGAGGAUGUUAGGUUCUUUUCGUGAGUUUAUUAAUGGAUUUAUGCUAAAUAAAGUUAUUAAUUAGUUGAAUGAUAAGUAUUGAGAGGAUAAGAUUUGAUCUCCUAAUUGCUAUAUAUAUAUAUAUAUAUAUAUAUAUAUAUAUAUAUAGUAAGAUUGGAUUUGGAGAGAGAAAGAUCUACAUAACAAAAAGUGGACGAAUUAAUUGCUUCACAUGAUAUCACCUAAGCUGAAUAUCAAUUAGCACUUGAAUUCAAAAACAUGGUAUAAAUCUAUUUUGACACGUGAAACAAUUCAUCCACCUUUUCCUUUGAUUAUUUUUGCCACGUUGUUUCGGUGAUGGAGUUUUAAGAUGUAAUUCAUCCUACUUAUGAUGACCAUCUAAGAAUUAUUUCUUUACAGCAUAUGGUGAGAAGGAGCAAUGAGGUGUAUAGCACUGAGGUUGAAAAAAAAAAAAAAAAAAAAAAAAAACCACCGGAACUAUAAGAAAUAAUUUUUUAUGUCCUGAAAAUGAAGUUCUCAAUUCUUAUGAAGGGUCUCUAUUAGCUAGAUUUUGUAAUUUUUUAAAGGGUUUCUAUUGGCUAGAUUUUGUAAUUUUUUAAAGGGUUUCUACUGGCUAGAUUUUGAUAUGUUAUGUGAUAUCAUAUUAUAUAGUUUUGUAUUGAUCUUAGCAAAAUUGUAGUAUUCAUCAAACCUACAACUAUCAUAUUAGUUUAGUUUAUCUAAUGGUCGCCAUGUGACAAAUCUCUAGAAAGUUGAAUAAAUAAAAUUCACAUAUAUAAGCUUUGGUUCAUCCUAGUUAUGACACUAUCUAGCCAAUAUAUUAUAUCAUUUUCCCAUCCUAAAUAAUAAUUACUUCCAAGUUAUAAAAAAAUAAUAAAUUAAAACUACUUCACUGUUGUGUUCUAAAUUAAAAAAAGAAUGAAAUUAAAAAAAGAAGAUAAUUUCAUAAAUUAUCUCAAAUAAAAUAUAUAAUAAUCAAAAUAAUAGAAAUUAAAUCUAACAGAUAAAAAAAAUUAAAAGAUGAUGAAAUUAAAAUAAUAAUAAUUACAAUUUCAUAAAUUAUUUCAAAUAAAAUAAGUAAUAAUCAAAAGAAUGAAAAUCAAAUUUGAUAGAUAAAAAAUUUCAAUUAAAAAAUGAUAAGAGAAAAGCAAAUAACAAUCAUAAAAAUGAGGACCAAAGUUAAUAUAAAAAUUAAAUUCUAAAGGAUAAAAUUGAAAAACAAUUAAAACAAAAUAUAUAUAGCAAUCAAAAGUUUGAGGAUCAAAUUUGAUAUAAUCAGUAAAUAAUAUGACAUUUCUUAAUUUUUCACAACUUUUGGAAAGUGUUUUCAACCCGAAAUUAAAAGGAAAACGCUUUCGUGGAAACCAAGUCAAAUUUUUCUUUGACUGAAAAGUGUUUUCCGUUGACCAACUUUUCUAAUAGCAAAUAAACGCAGAAAAGUUUGGAAAAUGGUUUUCAGAAAAUCACUUUCUGUCAAACAAACGGAGCUUUAGUUAAGUUUUUUCAUAAUCACUAUGAAACCCAUUGGACAAUGUUUAACUAUAAUUUUAAAAUGUUAAUGCUGAAACCAUAGUUUGAUUUCAAUUAAUUUAGUGCUUAAAUAGUAAAUAACAUUAUUAUUACGCCCGGUUCAACCAACAAAUCAACUUAUUGACCCACCCACCAACCAGAUCCCAAGCUUAGGUCAAGUUUUAAAUUUAUAAGGGUGGAAUUUUAAAUUUAUAAGGGUGGAAGUUGACCUAUGUGAUCUAGUCCACUCGUAACUUGAGAUUUGGAUUAAGUUUUUUUUUUUAUAAUCACAAUGAAACUCAUUGUAUGAAUAUCUAAUAAUACUUAUAAAUUUUUUAUGUCGAAACCAUAGUUUGAUUUCAAUUAAUUUGGUGUUUAAAUAGAAAAUAUUAUUAUUAUUAAACUUGAUAUAACCAACAAGUCAACUCAUUUACUUGCCUAUCAAAUCCUUAAUCUAGACCGAGUUUUAAAUUAUAAUGCGUGGAAGUUAACCCAUGUGAUCUGGUUUUUAUUAAGUUCUUUCAUCACAAUGAGACCCAUUGUAUGAAUGUUAAAUUCUAUGUUUAAAAUGUUUAUGUUGAAACCAUAAUUCAAAUUUAAUUUUUAUCUAUGUGAUCUAGUCUACCUAUAACUUGAUUGAUCAGGUCAAAACUCGUUUGACUUUUAAAAAAGUUAAAAAGCUAUGUUGCUCUAAACUAGAUUAAUUCCCUUAACCCAUGACUUAAACUUUAGACUAGGUCAUAAGCCGACCCGAGUUUAAUAAUUUUGUUAAAAAUAUUAAAAAUAGGCUUUGUGAUAAAAAAUAAAUGAGCACAAUGUCAACAAGUCUAAAUAUAAAUUCUUUAUACAAGUCUAAAAAAUAAGAAAUACAUUAAGUACUUAGUCUUAAUUUACCUCAAACAUUUUUGAAGCAAAUUAAUCAUCGAAAAACAAUUAAUUUGAUUUCUGGAUCCCCUUUUCUACAUCACUUGAGUAGCACCAGUUGAUGUCCUCGUUUCCAUGUGAUGUUCUGUGAUAUCCCCAUGCUUGGUUACAUCAUAUUUUUCUCCAUCGCCCCACAAUGCAUAAGCCUCCUCACCAUGCACAGCAUCAUCCCCAAUAAGCAAUUGUUCCUCAGACAUUCUCAAUGGUAUCACAAAGUUUAUCACUACACAGAUAAUUGAUGUAACGACAACGUUCCAUCCAAUAAUGAAAGCACCGCCAACUAGUUGUUUGAGUAUUUGGAUUCCACCGGAACCACCAUAGACACCUCCCCUUGACUUUGUCACCGGCAAAAAUAGAGCACAUAGCUCAGGUUCUGCAAAGAGGCCUGUUAGAACACCCCCUAGAAGGCCAGCAACAGCAUGAGUGUGAAACACUCCUAGUGUGUCAUCAAUUUUUUGCAGUAGUGUCCAUCUUUUGUGAACAAUCAUCAUGGUAAACCAUGGAACACUACCAGAUAAAAUUCCCAUGAUUAUGGCAGCCCAUCCUUGAACAAGACCUGAAAAAUAUAUCAUUAUAGAAACUCCAAAUCAACCUUAUUUUACGAAUAACCAGUAAUUUUUUCCAUACUCUUUUUUUUUUCCAAUUCAAAUCAAUUAAAACUCCAAAUCUACCAUGUCUCAAAUCUAACUGGCAGGCGGAUUGUAGUUUUACAACAUAGGAUUUUAGUGCUACAAAAAUCCGUAGCAAAACGUCUAAGAAAAGAAUACCAUUUCUAAUUUGAACUUCAGUAUCAAGCCCCUAUGAUGAAGGCCUCAGUUUUGAGACCGAUGGAUUUCAGAUCAAGAUAUAUCACAGUCAUUGAAAAUUUAGCCUAACUUGGCCCAGUUUAUAAACUUUUCAUCCAUCUUAAAUUUGGUGGGUUUUAAAUAAAAAAAUUCAAAAUUUUGCCGAAUAGCAUUUAGGCCCUGUUUGCAAACGAUCCCAGUCUUAAGAGGGAGCUGCAUAUUUUGACUAAAAGAAGAAUUAUGCACUGAAUGUUACCCAACUUUGACAAAAGAAAUGGGCAAAAACGUGGCAAUAAUUAUGGCCACUAAAAGUUGAAGAGUGAGUUGGAGCUCACCACGAUUCGGCGCAUUAAUGAAGAAAUAAUGCAGCCUACCUUUGUCGAAUUCUAGCUGCCAUUUGAAAAGCCUAUAAAAGGUUGUGUUGAGAGCAGAAGCAUACGUAUCAACGAGAGCCAAACAGAGAGAGAGAGAGAGAGGUUCUGCCAUUGUGGCAGCGACACGAGCUGUCCUGAGCAGCAGCUUGUGUAGGCUGGUAAAAUGUGGGUGAUAGAGAAAGACGAGACACUUGCAAGAGAGUGUGGGUAUGAGGUUUGGUCUUUGUCCUCCAUUAUUAUUGUAAAUUGUGGUGUUUCUCCUGUUCAUUAAUACUGUCUAUUUCAUGGAUAUAAGCAAAUUACUGAACAUAUUAAAUUUGUUGUGCUUAGUUUCUGGGCAAAAAUCAAUAGGAUUGUCUAUGGUAUUAGAACUUUGAAGUUACUAAUAAAGUGGCAUCGAAGCUUCGGUAUUCCCAACACCACGGAGAUGUUUAAUAUCUUAUAUGGAUUGAAAGGAAAAGAUUUAGAAAGUUUGUAAGCUUCAAGCACCAUAAUUUCAUUUUAAAAACUUUUUUUUUAAAAAAAAAUAUACUAGAAAAUCAAGAGUUUAAGGUGAAACAAUACUUUGAAAUGGUUAGUCAGGUGCAAAUUGAUAGCAAUAUCAUCAAUAAUCAUAUUAAAUUAUUUUUUUAUGAUUGGAACAAAUGAGUUAUGUGAUCUCUAUAAGCUCCUAAACCUCUUGACUAAGCUACAUGGUACUUAAUAUAUCUUUCACUUUCCUUGGCACUCUAUGGUAGUAUUUACUUUUUAAAAUAAUUUUUCAUUUAAAAUAAUAUUAAAUUAAUUUUUUAAAUAUUUUUU